rnacentral:lncRNA from 1 species
AGUUUCGUUGUCAGAAAUGAAGAAAAUGGAUUAGUUGCUGUAUGUUUAUCUACUCUCUAUGCUGUGCAUGCGGCUUGUGAUGUGCUCCACAAGGGAAUUGAUCUUCUAUUUAUCAUGCCCUGGUCAACUGUGAUGAUGUGCACUUGUAGGGAUUAAACAUGUCCUGGCCAAUUGUAACUUGGAAUUAAUAAUUUCUUAAGCAGUGAACUUACGUCUAUUAUGUGAUUUCUGUAGACAUUAUGUGGUUUUGCUGUCAGAGGUGAAGAGAAAUUUAACUUCCUCGGUUAGUGCCACAGUGUUAGCCAUCUCACUCUGAAUCUUGCAGUUCAUUUGCUUGCCUUUGCAUCUAUUUUUUUGUGUGCACAUAUCCUUCUCAGCAUCGUUUGCUCAUGUCCCACAAGAACUCUGCUCCUGUGUUUGAAACUGUAUUUCAAAACUCCCAUGAUGCUUUUAUGAGUCGAAAUAAUUUGCACCCAUUCAGUAGCAAUGCUGCUACUGGGACAAUUUAUCUUCUUUCUGUGGAAUAACAUAUGAAUUAAAAACAGUGCUGCUAAAUCUCAGUCGAUUGAGACUUCACGAAGUCUUAGUCGAUGUUAUAUUCCUUUGAUCUUGCAUGGAGAUUUGUGCUAAGUUUUUUUUUCGUUUUUUUCUUUUCCUUUUAUACACUAUGUCACUUGACGUCGACUUCGCGAAGUCUCAGUCGGCUGAGACCUAGCCACACCCAAUUAAAAAUCUUUUAUGAGAUGGAAUAUAAACAUACAGACAAUGUAUGCCUGUGUGCUUCAGUGCAGUGCACUGGCGAACAUUGCAUUUUAUUUCAUUCUAGACUUGAAGAAAAAAUGGAGUGACUCUUGCACCGCAGAGCCCUCUCUUUUUACUAGACUAGAGAUGGAAUUAAUGUUUUAUCUUCUUCUUUUUAGAGAAAAAACUGAGUGAAUCUUCUCCUUCAACUGGGUUCAGUACAGUGAUUGUAGUGAAUGGAAAAACUAUGCAAUUUAAAAAGAAUAGUGAAACGAAAACCAUAGUCAUAAGAUUUCUUAUAGAGCAACAAUACAAAUAAGGAUUUUCUGUCUCUUUUUUCAGACUAUAAAGAUUUUUUUGAGGGCCUUUUUUUAGAUUAAAGAUGAAUUCUCUGCCUAUACACGGUUGUGCGUGGUGGGCUUUUUUCUUACUAUAGUGUCGUGGGUUUUCUCUUGUUUUCUGUCUAAAAAUAUAGAAUUUUGGGCUUUAGGUCAUCUGAACUGCAUCUCGCACCAACUGCCGCCUCCCUUGCCGCUGUAGCCACUCGGCGGCGACGUGGCGGCAGGUCGAUGACAACCUGCUCACUGAGAUCCUUCUCCGCCUCCUAGGGCUCUUCUACAUGCCUAUGCUGGAGGCCCCCAAUCGUGUCCGCGCUUCUUCUCCUUGCAGUUUGACUAGCACAUGAUGUACGACGCCAGGGCAGAUUUAUUUUCCUUGAUGCCCACGAGUUUCAACGCCCUAGCGAAAAAAGGUCCUAGUUUGGGACCCUGUCAACGGCGACCAGCGUCGGACUACCCUCCCCACGGGGCCCUUCAGUUGGUAGAACACCUCAAUCAACGGGCGGCGCUCCGCUCCGGAGACAUCCACCACUUCCAGGUGGUUUUGGUAUGCAAAGACAAACAUCAUACACGAGGUGGUUGCCUGCAUUUACUUGUCGGACGCCAAUUCCAUCUAAGGCUCAUACACAAAUACGCUCGGUGUUUUUUCUAUGUUGUACGUGGUGUUAGCUGUGGAUUUCCUUUAAUGUCUGCUUGAUAUGGAAAGUGACUGGAAUUACCGAUUUUGAUUUCGACGAUUUCGUCUUUCAUGGUUCUUUUUUUUUAUGCACCAGGCUUGUUUCAUUAUAAAUCGAGUGUCUCCAAAAACACUUGGCUUACAAUCUUGCAUCUUGAUUGGUCGAUGCAGGUCUUUCAUGGAUUUACGCGUCAUGACCGUUGGAUUUACUUAGUUGGACGGCUGUGAGCACCUAUUAUAAGCUGAGUGCCGCCAAGAAAAAACACACUGCUUAUACCCUUGCAUUUUGAUUGGUCAAUAUAGGCCUUCCAUAGAUUACAAGUUAGAGCAAGUAUAAUAAGUUUAUGUAAGCAGGACAUGGAGGGGAAAGAAGAGGAGCCGGCUACAGAAUAAGAGCCGGCUGCAGCACGUGCUCGUAGGCACUAUGUGAGAGUGGAAGGUGGACCAUUUAUUAAUGAGGUAGCACAUCUUUGUAUCUUAUUAUUAUACUCCCUCCGUCCAAAAAAACUUGUCAUCAAAAUGGACAAAAAAGGGUGUCUCUAGAACUAAAAUACAUCUAGAUACAUCCCUUUUUAUUCAUUUUGAUAACAAGUAUUUCCGGACAGAGGGAGUACUUGAAGGCUACAAGAUUUUUUUUUGAGAUAAGGCUACAAGGUUGGCUAUAGAUGACAUGACAACAUCAUAUAGACAUCAGCUGGCCGUACUAUUAACCAUGCUCUUAUGACCGUUGGAUUCGGCUUAAUCGGACGGCCCUGAGUAGAUAUCUUAUCUGUCCCAUCUCUCACUCUCCUUAUCUCUUUUCUCCUCCAGUACGCAGCCGCCGCAGCUCCUCCUCUGGCUCGCCUCGCUGCCACUGCUCCUCCUCUCGGCCAAGCUAGUCCUCGUCCCCUCUUCUCUCCUUGUCCUCAUCUCCACCUCUUCCCCUCUUCCUUCCUCGCCAGCAGCAGCAGCACUAGGGAGCAGCGGCGGCGGCAAGCGAGCAGCAGCAGCGGAGUAGCAACAGCGAGCAGCAAAGUAGCAGAAGUAGGGAGCGCCGGCGGCGGCGGAGGAGCAGCAGCGUCAAGAUAAUUGAUUCUUGCCGGAAGGAACACACGUACACAGCUCCUGAAUCUGAUUCUUUUCGUUUAUUUACACAUGCGCACACAAAACCGGUGCAUUGCCGCAAGCUCGAAUCGGGCCUGCUUCUUUUCGCUUGUUUCUCGUCAUUGUUCAGUGUUUACAAAGGGACAUACAUGCGUAUACAUACCGCUGGUGGCCCACGACGGCCCUCGGUUUAUAUAUAAACCGGGCUGCUCACCUCGGCCCUUGGUUUGCACCCGGCUUGUACCUAGUAAGCCGUGUGCUACAAGCCUCUUUUUAUAUAUAAACCGAGUUUAAAUCGGCAUAGCCGAGUGUAUUAGGUACACGGCUUAAUUAUAAUUUUUUUGAAACUAGCUUGAACCAAGUCAAGUGUCAAAUAGGUAGCUCAAUUGGCACAUUAUGAAGCAUAAAAUUGGUUAUAUUUCAUUGUUUCGAUAUUAUUAUCUUUGCCUUGCUGAUAUUAUUAAAUCCAUAAUAAUGACUUGGUUUCAUAUUUUACAAAAUAGUUUUUGUAACAUUUAGAAGAGUCCUGAUGCAGCUAGUAAGUUCAUUUGUGCAGGAGAAUUCAGGCUAAAAUUUUACAAAGAUAAUCGAAAUAUGAAUACUCAUUAUCACAUCUGUUGCCAGAAUUUAUAAGUAUGGGUACAUUUCAUUCUUGUCUGAUAUAGCAUGGAAUGAGCUUAAUAGUAAUUUUAGAUACCCCUACCUUCUAAUCAGUGAACAGUCUAAGUAUGUAUGUUCUUCAAUUUACGAUAUUAGUGAGUAUAUAUUGUAAUGAGAAUAUUUGAUUUAUUUAUUAGUAGGUGUUGUUUGGUUUAUCUUUUUCGUAAUGUUGCAUCAAACCUGAGCUGCUUUUCUCAAGUGAGUUUAUCUAAAUACCCUGCUCAUGCCCGCUCGUAUCUAUUCAUUGUUCAUUGCAUUUCAAUGGUUCUUUGACUUCUUAAUCUUGCAGACACGGGCGUUGAUGGUGGACAUGGUGGAGCUGAAAUUUUGCACAAAAAGUUCAUUUGCCCCAGUGGAAGUGCUUUGAUGUUGUUUGAUUGAGCAGGUAACCAUCUGUUACUAGUAUCACAAUGCAAUAUUUUCCUUUUCCUUUAGUUUCCUUGGUGGGUGUUUUCUGUUUUACUUUGGUGGUUGCUAAAUUGCAUUUAACUUUUUCCAUCUGUGGUUAUCAUAUGACUAUGCAGCCAACCAAAUCGGCUGAACAAAGCCUGAGCAACCAUUUCCAAGUGGCUGCACCCAGAAUCCAGUGUAGCCGGCGCCUCCACAGGUUGAACUAAGGAUCACGUAGGAUCCAGUGCAGAUCAUUUCCAAGUGGCUGCACCGAGUUCAAACCUGCAGGAAAGUAGAAGCUCUUUGAUUGUUAAAAACAUAUUGUUGCAAUACCUUCAAAUAGCCUUAGAUAAAGCACAAACUUCAACCCAGAUUUGAGCUUUUAGUUGUUUAUUAAUACACCCUAACCAGUUUUCGAACAUUAUUAGACUAAAGCACAAACUCCAACCCAGAUUUGAGCUUUUAGUUGUUUAUUAACACACCCUAACCAGUUUUCUGAAAUAGAAGUUAGUAAUAUACACCUUGAGUUGAGCUUCUCCAAUGGUGCCAUCAUCUUGCUCAAGCUGAUCUUUUUUUUACGAUGCUUCCCAUUUGCAAGUAAAAUGGAAGUACUUCAUAUUGCUUCCCCCCUCCUGAACAUGCUUCACUAUAGCAUGUUAGGUCCAUUUCAACUCUUCUUCUCUCAUAAGCUUAGUGGUCCGCUCAUCAGCAUCACUCUUGAUAGACCUUUCCGGCUUCCGCUGCACUCAGUGGAUUUAGUUCUGCCUUAACAUCCAGUUGAUCAAUCAACUGAAGUAAGCCCUCUUUUUCUUUCCUAUACCCCCCACUGAGACUACGAGCCCAUCCCUUUAGGAAAUCAAGCAUGCCUUUUCUCUACUUUGAUCAAGUCGCAGACUCCCUGCUAAUUAAGGUCAGUUUAUGCUAAAGGGAAACGAAUUAGUCUUAUUGACUGAUAAAACAAAUGAGAGAUGACAGUUCACACGUAUUGACUUCAAAAAGUCUCACUUGCUUGUCAAGUGCUAACAUGAACCCAUGUUAAUUGCGAGAUCCAUCUAAACAGAGUCACAAUUGACCUACUAAACUAAUUAUAAGGCUUAAGGGGUAAAUGACUAAGUGACCGUUUUGUUUGAAACCAACUGAAAAUAUUGCUGGAUACCCACUGUCAGUUCCUUCCAUAUGAGGGGAGAAAUUACGAAUUAACCAUCACAUUUGAUCUUGGUUUGUCUUUAUUCUGAUCAAGUCCUAGGCUCCUAGGUAACUAUACCGUCGGUCUAUGCUGAAGGGAAAGAAUUAGUCUCAUUGAACGAUAGACAAAUGGUAAGAGUACUAUUCACAAGUAUUGACUUCACAAGAAUUGCACAUGCUCGAUUGCUUGUUGCAAGAGCUCAUGGACCAUGGAAACUGUGAGAUCCACUCACACAGACCUGACUUGAGGAGAUACCUGUACAUGACCAAGUGGCUGGUCAAUUUUAAACUGAUCGGAAGUGCCGCUGGAUAUCAACUGUGGUCCUUUGAAGUGGCUAGAAAAAUUGAACACUGAGUUUUUUCUUCUUUUUAGAUGAGAAGGGAAAAUAUGAAACAAGCACAUUUGAGCAUAAUUUUGUUUACUUUGUUGAAGUCCCAGGCUCCUGGAUAAUCAGAGUAAUAGUAUAUGCUAGGGAAAAAAUUAGUGUCUCAUUGAAUGAUAAAAGAAAUGUGUGAUGAACUGAUGAUGACCAUCGAUUGAGUGUGAGAAAUAGCAUUGAUGAAAGAUCUAUCCACAUGGCCAAAAUAAUAUGAUUAUGGUGCAAGUCAACCCUGCUAGAUGCUGAUCCAGAUGUUGCUGGCAACUCACCAAUUGGGUGAUAUAUUAAUUCCACCUGGAGAGAGAAGACAAAACUUAGUUUCAUGCAAUACAUGGAUAUGCUGGCAAGCAUCAAAGAAUCUCGACUGUCAAUGUAAGUUGCAGAAAUGGAAAUGGUAAGAAAGAAUACAAGCUGCUCUCCUGAUUGCCGCUAUAUCAAGUGAUUGCCAAUGUAUCAGUAUAUCACUGUCAGCAGAAUAUCACAGGACCCCACCAUCAUCAGUAUAUCUAGACCAAGAAAUGUUGAAGAAUGACCUGUAUGGAAAGGUAGUGCUGCAAAUUUGAUAAUAUAUGCACAACCGCGUCUGCAGUUGUUUUACACAACCAAAAUACAUUGAAAUAUAUCAAACUGAUGCCCGUUUUAAAUUGUUGGUGGUUGCACACAACGCGCUGACAGUUGAGCAAACUACGAUGGCGUACAAGUAUGCAAUAGUUAACAAAGAGGCUACUUGGCCCUGUGGGUCGCAUAUUGUGGAGUCCCAUACCACUAAGCUCCAAGCUUUAUACUAAUACCUUGCAUUACUUUCUGCCAUAUUCCAUAUAUAGUUCCAUAUCGCUGGCUUAGACUCAUACUUCUCAUCAUCACCAGCAUUGUCAAAAUGGGCGAGAGCAGAGGAAGCAUCGCCUUCUUUGCGUGCUACAGGCCUCCGGUGCCCCUCGACAUAUUCUGCUGUCCAGCUCCAGCAUCAUCAAGGGAGGAGGAGCGGCACUUGACGGAUGGCGUGUCGUACAACUACAACUGCCAACCCAUUCCAUCUGCGGCCCUCAAGUCGAUCGUCAAGCACCUAGAUCUGGCUCCUGAAGACGUUGAAGAAGCCGCCAUCGAUUCGGGCCGUCUCACCGGCCUCGUCUUCGUCUCUGAAAGACAGCACCACCUCGAGACUCUUCAUAUAGGCCUGCGCUUCGAUGAUGGCGACGAAGUCAGGGUCUUCACCUUGGGGGACAUCUAUGGCGGCGACUUUUUCAGUGGUGCCCGUCUGGAGGACAGCGGCUGCAUCGCAGGAGGCUACGAGGUGGAUGGCCACACAGCUGACCAUUACCUCGUCUUCGUGUCCACGAAGGAGCCUGUGCAAGAACGCCGCAGCCCGUGGAAUGUCGUCUACAAAACUAAUCUCAGAACAGGCGAAACUGAGCGCCUCACUCCACCAGGUAAUUUGGUUGUUGAAUCUUAUCUUCCUUUUGCUAUUUGAUCUACUACUUUGUACUUGUCUCUGGAUAUAUGAAUGACUAAUUAAGUUGAGUCCUUUCUGAAUUUGAUCUACUUCUACUUGUUCUUGGAUGCAUGGCUAAAUUUCUGCUUAAAUAAUAUUUGGUUGACCUGUUUAAUUCUACAUACACAAACAGGGACAUCCGAUUUAAGCCCCUCGGUGUCACCAUCUGGGAAGAGGGUAGCAGUGGCUUCGUUCCAAGGAAAGAAAUGGGAUGGUGAAGUUAAAGACUUGCUGACAAACAUUUACGUGAUGGACCUAGAGAGCACAUAUCUGGAGCGCGAGCGGGUGAUCGAGAACGCUGGCUGGCCAUCAUGGGGAAGCGAAACAGUACUAUUUUUCCAUAAAAAGGUUGGGGAUAACUGGGGUGUAUUUCGACACGACUUGAGCACCGGCGAGACCCUCCGUGUGACCCCGGAGGCAUUCGAUGCAGUGACUCCAGCAGCCAUUGAUGAGAGCAGAGUGGCUGUGGCAACCAUCCGCCAGAAGUCUGUGUUCACCGACGUCCGUGUUGAAGCGCAGUACCGUCACAUCGAGGUUUUUGACAUGGGUUUGCCGGAGGAGCCACUUCAAAUCACUCGGUGUACCAAGCCAAAAGGCGACCAUUACAACCCCUUUGUAAUGGAUGGUGGCAAGUACAUUGGCUACCAUCGUUGCAAAAGCGACCAUCUCGAGGUACCUACCCUUGUGGCUAUGCCCUAUGCACAAUGAUUUGCUUGUUCAGUAGUACACACUUGCACAGUUACAUUACAUUAAUUAUACUCCCCCCGUUCCAAAAGAUAAGGUGUAUUAGUUUUUUGAAGUCAAACUUGUGCAUGUUUGAGCAAGUUUUUAGAAAAAUAUAUUAAUAUCUAUAAUACCAAAUUUGUAUAAUUAGAUCCAUCAUGGGAAGUAUUUUCGUGUUUUAUUUAUUUUUGUAUUGUGGAUGUUAAUAUUUUAUUCUGUAAUCUUGGUAAAACAUACAUAUAUUUGAGUAACGAAAAUUGAUGCACCUUAUUUUCUGGAAUGGAGUAUGUAGUGAUGUCGUUCAAGCUGUCUAAAACAUUGUGUCUCCUGCAGCAUGGAGAUGAUGUCCCGAGGCGGUUCGACAAGCUGCAGUCCCAUCAUGAAGAUAUUGGUCUGUUUAGGGUUGCCGGUGCAUUCCCGGCAUUUUCCAAAGAUGGCUCCAAGCUUGCAUUCGUCGAUAACGAGUUCAAAGCCGUGUGGCUGGCCGAUAGUGACGGAAUGCGUGUUGUCUUCGAAGUAAGUACACCAUGUCCUUUUACCUUUUGGUUCAAAAGAAUGGAUGAUGUUACGACUGUUUAUGACUGGCCGAUUGUUAUUGACUAUGAGUGCUCUGUUUGUAUUUGUGUACUUGUACAUAUAGACGGAUGGUCCUGAUGGCGUCUUCUCACCGGUGUGGAACCAAAAAAAGGAUAUACUUUAUGUCUGUAUGGGACCGUCUUUCAAAGCCAACGAAAUAUUGGAGAUCUACGCCAUCCCUCACGUAUCGAGUGGUGCACGAGAGCGGCGACUGCUCACGAAGGGAAAAUUCAAUAAUGCGUUCCCAUCCACCAAUUCAGACGGUAAGGAAUUACCACUACCGCAGCCUUGCUUCAGUGGCUCCAUGAGUCCUCUCUAGUCCAUUCAAUAAGAAUGUUGUUUCCCUUGGCAUGGUGAUAACUUUGUAUACCUCUCACAAUGACCGCUGUAUAUUUACAUUUAUGUGUUUACGCUUGUACAGGGACAAAACUUGUUUUCCGAUCGACAAGAAAUGGGGGAGACAAAAAGUACAAGAAUCUAUACAUGAUGGACGCAGAGAUCGGGGAGGACGGCGGUGAAGCGGAACGGAUAACAGAGGGGGAUUGGAUUGACACACACUGCCAGUGGUCGCCAGACAGGGACUGGAUCGUGUUCUCGUCAAACCGUGACAAGCCCGCGGACGCUCCGGAGCGCGACCAUGGUAUGGACCCGGGGUACUUUGCUGUUUACCUGAUGAACGCAAUCGACCGCUCUGUGGUGAGGGUAAUCCGGAGCGGGUACGACUUCUCCGGGCACGUGAACCACCCGGUCUUCAGCCCGGACGGGCGGAGCAUCGUCGUGACGGCAGAUCUUGCCGCGGUGUCUGCUGACCCAAUGUCGCUGCCGCUCUUGUUGCACUCGCAGAGGCCCUACGGCGACAUCUUCACCGUUGAUAUCGACCCGGAUGACAUGGAGAAGAACCAGGAUGUGGAGGAGUUUGCCCGAGUCACGCAUAGCAGGUACGAGAACGCCACUCCUGACUGGACCGUGUUCUCAACUCAUGACCCGCAUGCGCAGUGGAACCUCCUGGUCAUGGAGGAGGAGUACACCCCGGCGUGCCCGUAUGCGCAUCAUGAUGGGGGUGAAAGCUGGCACAUGACAGGUCAGAUGUGCAUCCCGAAAAGGGUCUGUUGAUCUUACGCCGCUAUGUCGGAAUGGCCCGGAUAACUGUGCCUGUUUCGCGCUUGGGCUCAUACUGUUGCCUGGAUUUAUUGCUUGAGAUGUAUUUGUAAUUUCUGUUUGGAUUGCUGUCUAUUUGGGUUGGUGUUGAGGUGAUUUGCCCGGACCAUUUGCAUUCUACACAUUUCAUCUUGCUGUAAUAUAUAAGGCUUCAGAGUUUUAUAUGAUGAUUCUGAAUUGAGUAGCCCCUGCUUUUGUUGUGACAAGUUUUGUUAAACUUUCAUGACACAAGUACAUUAUUUAUCAAAACGUAAUGAUGAUAUAUUUACAUAGAAAGGUUUCGCGGAGGUGAUUUGCUACCUUUGACAGGAACGGUUUACAUCAUUCAAAUGCUCAGCAACUUGAAAUAGUUGUUCACACCUGCUGUGUGGUAAGUCCUACUAGCACCUAGCUCCCUAUCUUGCCAACAAAGUGUCUGCUCUCUCAACCGAGAUCCAACAACUUCAGCAACACAACCUGACCGGAUGGGAUGAAGCUGCCAACUUUGUACAAAGGUUUUCAUGAUGGUGUUCCUAAAUACCAGCACAGUGGCCCUCGCAAGCAAUAGCAUGACUUUUCAUACACUGGAAUUUUUUGAAGAUGCUUAUAUUAUGUAAACUGAAAUAUUUAGGUUAUAAUAUAGCCACUACAAUUGUUUUUGCUCAGAGAGUAUACUUGUGGAUUACUUCUUUAAUCAUAAAGUUUGUAGACUUAAUGAUUACUAUUACCAAUUCAGAAACACCAUAUUAUCAACCACAUGAGCGGAUGAGCCCAUAUUAUGUACUCCCUCCGUCCUAAAAUAAGUGUCUCAAAGUUGAUACACUUAUUUUGUGACGGAGAGAGUACUAUCUCCGUCUCAAAAUGUAAGAUGUUUUUGAGGCAUCCUAAAAAAACGUCUUAGGAGUACUUCUGUUAGAUAUAUGACUAUGAAUAUAAUACUAAUCAGCAUUGGCCACAUGACAUUCAGUGUAUAGUUUGACUUAUAUCAAGUGCUGAAUGUUGUUUAUGUAUAAUUAUCAAGAUAUUUUGGUUGACAUAUCAAAGGUAGGAUAAUGCUGAGAUACACUCAGCAUGUGUACUGUGUAUAAAAAAUUUAAAAUACAAAUUCAUAUAUGCAAUGUGUCAGAAAGACUAUACUACUGGAAACUUGUUUUGAAUACGAAUUCAAUAGUACAUAUUAAAGUGGUAUAGUUCUAUAUAGUAGAACGGUUCUAACACGAAUUGUGGUGGUUUGACCGUAUAACGCACGAUAUUACGAGUAGGCAGAUCAGCGUCCUCUCACAUAAUCAGAUGACCGCAAAAGCACGACAAACUUUUCCGCAAAGAAAAAAAGAGCACGAGGAACUGCAGGAAUAAUAAUUAAGCACAUAUAGAGCUAGAGAUGCGAUAACGACUUGGUGCAAACAGCAGCAGUUUAGAACCAGUACUCCUCACUUAACCCAUUACAUACCCAGGAGUGACACAUCUGGCGAGACAUCAACUAAGAUAGAUACCCAAAGCUCGAGCGGAACAUUCUCCACGUGCGUACCACGGUUGCUGGGUAUAGAAGAGCGGUACGUUGUCAUCACUCAUCAGUCAUAGUCCAAACAGAAAACACACGACGUAGAUCAGGAAGUAUGCGAGAGGGCCAAACGCGCAGCCGCAAAGAGAGCAGACGAUGGAGAUGAGCGUCCCCGCGGCGCCCGGCGCCAUCCCCGCCGGGCUGGAGAAGGCGUAGACGGCCACCACGACCGCCAGGAUCACCGCCAAAAUCAUGGCGGACGAGCUGAUGAUGAUGAUGCCCUGGAAGUGAACGGAGGGAGUCGGAAUGGAUCGAUGGCGAAGAACGAGUGUGGAAGGAAAGCGGGAUGUCGAACGUAUGGUAUGACUGGUGGGUUCUUAUACAGGCCUCCAGGCUCCAGCGCAGCAGGGUCGGGCGGACAAAAUCCGGAGCCCUGUGCCAAACUAAAAAAAUGAAGCCCUAUCUAACUAAAAUAUAACCUAACGAGCAAUUAUAAUGUAUAUAUUAAUAUAUAUCAAGCGGAAUUUUUUCAUAAUGUAUAUAAUAUAAUGUCUUACAUAACAACUGAACGUAUAAAAAAUCAUAUCUAUUCAACUCCUGACUGCUAUUUAUUUGAAAAACGUCAUUUUUUUAGUAUUCUUUGAAAUGAAAUCUUCAAUGAUAUCCUCGUAAUCAAUCUUCUCCAACACUUUACUCUCAAGUGCUAUUGUGGCCAAAUCAUUGAUUACCAGAUGACAUUUGCGGUACUUUUUUUUAACAAAUCUGUCCAUACCACCUUUAUAAGAUUUAUUAAUUAAAUUCUCUUCUUCUGCUUUUUUCUUGCGCUUGUAGGCACCCGACUGAUGUUUCCCCGUAAUGACUCAAAUUUGUAUUAUUGAAACACAAGAUAAAGAAGAUGAAUAAAAUAAAAUUGAAUUUAUACGUAGCAUAUAUCAAUUGAAGAUCAUGCGUCAAUGCUUGGGAAUUAGACGAACCGUCUAACUCAUCAAAUUUUCUGUCCUGUGAUCUUUAACCCGGGAGGUAAGAACCAAUCUAUAAUGAAGUAACGAUUCUUGUGAAUAAUUAAUUAGAAAAUUAAGAAUUGGGAUUUAGGAGUGGGAACCGAAGUUAAUUAAAAAGAAUGACUCGCUAAGCACCUGAAGGCUAGCGUCGGUGACCGAUCAAUCAGAUGAGAUGAUGUUGACGAGUCUGAAAUUUAAAAAAGGAGUCAAGAAAGUCAACAGCGGCACCACGGCAGUGACCUGUCGCUUAAGUCAGCCUGAAUCCGAAAUCGGAUCGGUCUAAGGAGUAAGGACCAAGGGCAGAGCGAGAGCUACCGAGGGACGAGGCGGGACAAGGCGUCGACGGUCAACCGGUCGACGUGACGAUGUCAAGGGCUCCAGGCGUCCAGCCGUGAGGGCUCCAGCGAUCCGAUCCGUAGGCUGUAGCGAUCUAAUGUUUUUUUUAUGGUAGCCAUCUAAUAUUUUUUAGAUAAUAACGUAGCUAAUUAGCUUUGCCCUCGUCGCCUUUUUUUUCCUGAGUGCUGCCUCGUCGCCCUCUCGUAGCGAUCUGGAGGAGUCCCAGCACUCCGUCCGCUCGAUGGCCUCGCUCUCACUCGAUGGGCCUAGUCGCUCGCCGCUGGCUCAGUUACGCUUAACUGUUAGUCUGUUACUACACCUACAUAAAAAAUAUGGGGCCCCCCAGAAUUUUGGGCCCUGUGCGGGCCGCACCUUUAGUACAACUGUGGGCCCGGCCCUGCAGCGCAGUCUGCACGAGUUAAUCGGUCCUCGGCCAGCGGUGAAGAAUUGAUGUUGCAUGUCUUCGGAACUACAAAGGCACGAGUUAAUCAGAGCUUCGCGUAGUAGGUUUGACCCGUUGUGAAGUUUAAGGGACUUGACUUGUGCGUGGUGUUUGACUGUACAAGGAUUUAUCACCUUCUUAUUGGUUCAUCUUUACCUCCGUUUGAUUUUUAAUUCAAGCUUGGCUGCUCUUCUUCACCUGAAUCGUGUGGUUCAAAUUUCUGAAAGUUGAGGUUUUUUAGAGGAGACCGAAAUUUCAGAAAGUACAGAAUCCACGGCCUUGUUUGAUACGGUGGGACGCUCAAUUUCUGAAAGUUGGCGUCCCAAUCUCCGCAAGAUGGUUUUGUUUAGCUUUGUGAAUACUUGUGCUCAAACUUUUAAUCUUUGUCUUCAGGAGAAACCUCCUGAGGGCUAUGCUAAAAUGAAUAUCAAUGCUGCUUUCUUUUUUUUUUCUUUGAAAAAGAGUGUUUUUUAUUGACUCAUACAGUAGCAUCGAGGGAUACAAUCAUGAUGAAUACACCCGGCCUUCGCAUAACUAAGAUGCACACAGCCAGCACAACACACACACACACACACACACACACACACACAAAAAUGAUCACGCUAGCAAAGGCAAAGUCAUGCAAAGACCAAAGCUAUGCCUAGGCGGAGGAAGAAAAGAACAAAAAACUGAAGCAAUGAAAACAACGAUUGACGAUGUACAACGGUGGCCAUCAGCCCCAGUCAUCUCUUGACAUCAUAAAGACUCCGAGAAGGGUUCUCCAAAAGCGACGCCUCCAACAAGGAAACGACGCACAAGCGCCGCCGUCGCCAAAUCCAACCACCAAGGGUCGGCUCACGGGUUUUCACCCUGAAGAGCAAAUCUGAGCAAACUCCGAGCAAUGCCGUCAUCAGAGUAACGACGUAAAGAACGCCGCCAUUGCCAGGUAUAACCAACUAGGUCAAACCAGAGUUUUCACCCCGGGGCUCUAGAUUGGGUACUCGAGAAGUACCACCCAAUGAAAAUCAUUUUAUGUUGUCUCCUCCACUUGCCUCGAUCCCAAUAGCUGCAUGUGUGCACGGUCCUUACGGCGAGUGAUGACCAUGCCUGAACGAGUAGGCUGACGAGACUCGACAAGAGCCACUCGCCAACACUCGAAGAAGUCUUUGACGGAGACGAAGGACAGCAGCACCACGAAAUCCCUAGUUCGGGACACUCCGAAGGCCAUGCACCAUCCGCACAAAUGGCAGCGUAGGCUGAUCUAUAUGAGACGACAGCAGACUCGCGGCCACUAACUCCGUGUCGUCCUCGCCAGGCACAGAUCAUACAGGUCCAAACCACUUGAGGUGACCACCGCCUGGUCGAUGCUGCUUUCUGACUUCCAUGAGGAGAAAUGGGCUACUGGAGCUGUGAUCAAAGAUGACCAUGGGCACUUUGUGCCGGCGAGUAACAGCAGAAUUGAACAUGUAAACUCGGCAGCUACUGCUGAAGCUAGAGCGUCCAAAGACGGGCUCAUCCUGGCAGGUCAAGUUGGACGCGAGAAGAUAAUUAUCAACUCGGACUGCCUGGAAGUUGUUCAAACUAUCAUGAUGGAGGUUUUUCAGCAACAAAAGCUUUGGCAAUAUACGAAGAGUGUGUGUUUUUAGCUAGGAAUUUCUCUCCUGUAAUCAUAAAACACUGUCCAAGGGAGAGGAAUAUUGUACUACUCAUGUAGAAGGAUCCCAGCCUUGUGUAUGGACGGGAGAUCCUCAAGUUUUCAUUGUAUCUAGCCUAGUGGACGAUGUAACUAUGUUUCAAACAUAAUAAAGUCGCUAUGAUGGCUUUUCCUCAAAAAGUUUUUUUAAUCUUUGUCGUAGUCCUAUUAUUGUAAUUUUUUGCAGAGAAGAGGCAAGUGAUGGAGAAAAUAGUAAAUUACAAAAAUAAUAAUCACAUUUGGUGCUAUGAUAUCAUGGAACAACCAUCUUUGAUGAAAAUUACAAAAAAGACCCCACCAACAUUGGGACAUGUGUAUAACAUACUCCCUUCAUUCCAUAAUGUAGUGCUUCCUCUAUCUCCGUGCUUCAACUUUGACUGUAAAUUUAACUACCAAGACCGAUUGCGGCGGAAGCAAAAAAUUAUAUCAAUGAAUUCGUAUUCGAAAGAAGUUUUUAAUUAUAUAUUUUUUUCUCCCACCGCAGUUGGUCUCGUUGGUUAAAUUUAUGGUCAAAGUUGCACCUCGAAAAGCGCGAGCGCACUAUAUUUUGAAAUGAAGGGAGUAGUACUGAUCUUGUGUUUUAACCGCUUGGGCCCAGUUGUCGGGUGGAACCAGAUCCUCUACCGUGCCCGAAGGCAUGUCAGAGAUGCCGUGCCUUCACUUUCCAGGAACGGUCGAACUAAUGGGCCUGUAGCCUACGAGCAGAACGGCCAAACUAAUGGGCCUGCUAUUUUGAUUGUCUUUUCUGUUUAUUUUCAGCAGCUUGACAACGUUUGGCUAAAAAAAACCUUGAGAACGGGAGGAUUACACAUUCGUUGAAUAGCAAAGCAAGAUUUUUUUUCCGCGAACUUCCAACCUAUUUUUUCCCAGAAAGAUCAGAUCUACUAUAAAAGUUGAUAAAUUAAAUCAAGAUGUUAUGCCUGUGGUGACUUUGUACAAUCUCAAGAUGCUAUUCCAGCUCAGUCUUUUGGAGGUGCUCAUACGGGUAGGGUGUACAUGCAUGAGUUCCUAGGGUGAGUGUAUGCUCAUGUAUAUGAGCGACUAUUCAAGGUCGGGUUUCUCAUGCCUCCCGCCAGUGUCUCUCUGGAGAUGGAAUAAGUUUCUCCCCGCCUAGUUCCCAUCCCGGUGAUGUUUCUAGCAUCAUCGGAGGGUGUGUGUGGAGAUUUGUCUCUGGCUGAUCUCGCGGGAUCCCAUCUUCGUUCGUCUGUGUUCAUGUGUCUAUAGGUUGGACCCUUCUGAUUUAUACUUCUAUUCAACAAUGGUGGUUGUUGUUCUAGUGUGUUGGUCUGAUGGAGCCUUAGCACAACAACUUCCCAACUGUCUACAACAGCAAGAUUUGCCUGGAUCCGAAGAGACACGGGCGAAGACGGCGGCGCACCUUCGGCUCGCUCUAGUGCUUGUAGUCAUUAGUAGGUUUCUACAGACUUGGAUGUAUUUUUUACUUCUUGUUUUCUUUGUACUACCUUGACAGUUGAUGAAUAAAUUAAAAAAAAUCUCGCAAACAAUAUUCUUUAUACGACAAAUGAUGAAUAGUGGUUGUUCGGUGAUUUCAGAAUCUCGAUGUAAAUUUUGAGUUGAUUUUGUACUUCCGAUGAACUUUUAGAAUACAUCUGAUUUUUCCGGAAAAAAUGGUUGGGUGUUUUCUGCAUAAAAAAUCUUGCUUUGCUAUUCAACGAACGUGUGAUGCUCCCGUACUCAAGGUUGGAUGUUUUUUUAGACAAACGUUGUCAAGCUGCUUUUUUUAGCGGUACAUUGUCAAGCUGCUGGAAAUAAAUCGAAGACUUUGUCCCCUAGGGUUUCCCUCUAGGGUCUACCUGUUCCUUCGGUGGCGCCGCCGAAGUCCACAUCAAAUCUACUAUAUUUCCCCGGCUUCUCACCGGCGGCUGGUAGCAACACAGGAGAUCCUACGGGGGUGCGCCCAAUCAUGAUGGAACCUGCAAGCGAUGGGCUCGGGGGUGUCCCCGAGGAAGGACAGACGGGGAUGGAGAAGCGGGAUGGUGAGGAAGUUGGGGUCGGCCAUGCCUCGGCCGAUCUGCCAGGAUCAGAUGUUCCAGAGGGAAGUGGGUCGGCUGGGAUGGAGGAGGUGGAUAUGGAGGAUGUAGAGGAAGAGGAUUGGGAUCGCUGUGGGCCUGAACCGAAUUUCGAGGAUGCGUUUGAGGGGUUGAACUUGCAUGGGGAGGAAGCGAAAGAUUUGGACGUAUCCGGUGAGGUGGAUGAUCUGGUCAAGGAUGUGUGGUGGCUGGCCCUUUUUAGGGUUCAUACGCUGCGCCCGUUCAGCCAUGCUGCUCUACUUAACUCCAUGAGAAAUGCAUGGUCGUGUGCGCAGGGUGUCGUCACACCUUUUCGAAUAUCAAAGUACCGAAUUUGUUCUUGGCCCAGUGCCACUGUCUAGGUGAUUGGAAGAGGGUAAUGGAAGGGGGGCCGUGGCAGUUUCGGCGUGAUCCUGUGGUGCUAGUGGAAUAUGAUGGCUUUACCAAUGUUACAGAAUACGCCCUGGACAUGUACCCGCUUUGGGCAAGAAUUAAGGGCUUGCCGGAUGGACUAACUAGGAAGAAAGAGCUCGCGGAGAAGGUGGCCAAGAAGGUAGGAGAGCCUCCCUUCACAGUGAUCGUGAACGAAGGGAAAAUAAAUCCUUCGAGCUACCUGAGAGUUAGAGUCUUUGUAAAUGUCAAUUCUCCUUUGGUUAGAUUUGUGCCCAUUACAUUGAAGGAGAAGAAGAAAUAUCCAGUAUAUUAUGAAAAGCUCCCGGACUUCUGCUAUUUUUGUGGCUGUAUGGGGCAUGUGGUUGAAGAGUGCGGAGAUAGCAUACAUGACCCAAGUACUUGUGAAUGGGGUGAGUACCUCCACUGGAUAAAUGAGCCUGUUGGCAAUGGGCCCAAAGGGGGCCGAGGUGGUUGGGGUUUUGCUGGAAGAGGGGGUAGCACGUUUGGUAAUGGGCACCGUGGGGGUGGAGUUGGUGCAAGGGGAAGAGGUGCAUGAGGAGGAAAUAAUUCAACAAGGGGCUAUAGUGGGGGGAUGUGGAUACGGGUAUGGAUGAGAUGCCAGGAAGUAAUCAUUUUAACUCAAUGGACAUAAUAAGGGAUGAUAGGAGUGCUCGGAAGAGACUGAUCCGCGAUGAUGGCACUAUUAAUGUGCGCGGACAACCUGUACCCAAUCUUGCUGGGAAGGUUGCAGGUACAGUUUUGCUGAUUGAAAAAGGGGAAGUAGCUGAAAACAGUGUUAGAUUGGAACCCAGUACGACCCCCAGAAAAAUACCUAUUGUGAAGCGUAGGAAGCAAGGUGAUGGUGAUGCAGUUUCUGAUACAGCUAGGACAGCCGAGGCGGCCUCCGAGAUGGAGGACCGCCGGUCCCAAUGAAUCUCAUUAGUUGGAACUACCAGGGAGGGGGCCGGGAAUACCCGGACAGUUCGAGAAGUGGCGACUUUUAUUAGGUCGCAUUCCCCCAUGUUGGUGUUUUUGUGUGAAACAAGACAGUCCAAGGAGAGAAUGAAAAAACAUCGAUCAAGGUUUGGAUUGAAAGGCUUUGAUGGUGUGGACAGCAAUGGUAACAGUGGAGGUUUGGCGUUGUAUUGGCAUGAAUCGGUUAUGGUUAAUGUUGUUUUUUUCAAAUCAGAGGUGCAUAGACGCACAUGUUAAGCUAGGGACAGAUGAAGAUACAUGGCGUCUAACUUGUGUGUAUGGAGAACCAAGAGUUGAAGAUAGACACAAUAUGUGGUCACUCCUUAACAAUAUGAGCGCUCAAUCUGAUCUGCCGUGGUUCGUAGUUGGAGAUUUCAAUGAAUGUAUGUGGGACUUUGAGCACUUCUCAUCAACGCCUAGGCAUCAAAGGCAGAUGCAAGCUUUUCGUGACUCAUUGGAGAUUUGUGACCUUGCUGACUUGGGGUUUUCUGGAGUCCCACGCACGUAUGGUAACAAAAGGAGUGGCAAUGGUAAUGUUAAAGUUCGCCUAGAUAGGGCGGUGGCUUCCCCGUCCUGGCGCAACCUCUUCGAGCAGCCGUCAGUUCGUCACCUGAUCUCACCGGUGUCAGAUCAUGUGACCUUGCAUGUAAGCUGUGAUAGAUUUGUGGGCAUGCAUGUUAAAAAGAAAUUUAGGCAAUAUGAAGUAAUGUGGGAAAGGGAGCCGGCGCUCCAAGAAUUAAUCACGCGUGCCUGGGCGGAUGCAUGACAGAAAAGGUGCAUGGGUGAUGUACAUGCGGCCCUUAGAGCCAUGAUGCAUAAGCUCUACGCAUGGAGUAAGGAGAAAUUUGGCAGCAUGACUAGAGAAAUAGAGAAGACAAGAACACGGCUUGAGGAGUUGAUGCUUAUGAAUGCGGAUAGAUGUGAGAUUCAACGAGUUACUGAUAAGUUGAAUGAACUAUUAUACAGAGAGGAGAUGAUGUGGCUGCAGCGGUCUCGAGUGGAUUGGUUGAAAGAAGGCGAUCGCAAUACAAAGUUUUUUCAUGCAAGAGCUAUUUGGAGAGCUAGAAAGAACAGGAUCAAGAAACUAGUAGAUGAACAAGGUACUGUUCACAUGGAAGUCAGAGAGAUGGGAGAUGCAGCCUCUGCUUAUUUUGGAAAUAUCUUCAAGGCUGGCCCCUCACUUGAUUCUUCUCCCGUCACAAACCUGUUCAGUUCUGUGGUCACCGACGAGAUGAAUGAUAAUUUUAUGUGCAGAUUGUUCUGAGCAGGAGAUCGCCGAUGCCCUGUUUCAGAUCGGUCCCUUGAAGGCGCCGGGGCCCGAUGGCUUUCCCGCGCGGUUCUUCCAGAGAAAUUGGGCGACUAUGAAGGAAAGUGUAGUUGUUGCGGUAAAGGAGUUUUUUCGCACAGGUAUCAUGCCACCACACAUUAACGACACUAUUAUUGUCAUGAUUCCGAAGGUGGAUAGUCAGGUAAAGAUUACAGACUUCAGACCAAUCAGUUUAUGUAACAUCAUUUACAAAGUGGUGUCCAAGUGCUUGGUGAAUCGAUUGAGGCCUGUUUUAGAUGAUAUAAUAUCUUCUUCUCAGAGUGCGUUCAUCCCUGGGUGUAUGAUCACUGAUAAUGCUUUCAUAGCGUUUGAGUGCAUUCACCACAUAAAAUAGGAAAAGGACCCCACUAGGAGUUUCUGUGCUUAUAAACUGGAUCUCUCUAAGGCAUAUGAUAGAGUGGAUUGGAACUACCUUAAGCAGAUGAUGCAAAAGAUUGGCUUCGUUCACCGGUGGAUAGACUGGAUAAUGUCGUGUGUGACCUCGGUGAGAUACUCCGUAAAAUUCAAUGGAGCCAUCUUGAAUUCAUUUGCACCGUCGCGUGGCCUACGGCAAGGUGAUCCGUUAUCCCCUUAUUUGUUCCGUUUUGUUGCAGAUGGUCUCUCGGCUCUCAUUAACAAGGGGGUGGAAACUGGGAAUUUGUCACCACUGAAAAUAACAAGGAGAGCCCCCGGAAUAUCACAUCUUUUGUUCACAGAUGACACGUUAUUGUUCUUCAAGGCUAAUAUUGAUGAAGCUAACCAUAUUAGGAGCAUUUUGGAUGUUUACGCGGCUGCUACAGGACAACUUCUAAACCCCUCCAAAUGUUCUAUGCUGUUCGGAAGUUCCUAUCCUGCUGGGUCUUUGGAAAGCGUUAAGCAAAUGUUGCAGGUUACUGCAUCGGAUUUUGAGGAAAAGUACUUGGGCCUACCAACACCAGACGGUAGGAUGUCAAAAGGGAAUUUCCAAAAUUUACAAGUUAAAAUGACAAACCGCCUGUUUGCGUAUGAUGGCCAUCCUACACACGCUGGGAAAGAGGUUCUUAUUAGAGCAAUUGCUCAAUCUAUCCCGACCUACAUCAUGAGUGUAUUCAAACUCCCCAUGGAGCUUUGUGACGAUCUGAAUCGCUUAAUUCGCAACUAUUAUUGGGGUGCAGAGAAGGGAAAGCGGAAGACUCAUUGGCAUGCAUGGCAUAAAAUUACUCGGCCAAAGAAACAAGGUGGCCUGGGUUUCAAAGAUUUUCGCUUGUUCAACCAAGCCUUGUUGGCACGCCAAGCCUGGAGGAUUCUGGAGUUUCCAGAUUCUUUGUGUGCCAAGUUACUUAAAGCCAAAUACUUCCCAAAUGGACACCUCUUGGAUACUGUUUUUGCUGGAAACCCAUCGCCUACUUGGCAAGCGAUUGUCCAUGGGUUAGAGCUCUUGAAAAAAAGGCAUGGUUUGGAGGAUUGGGACGGACCAAAAUGUCCGUAUAUGGAGGGAUCGAUGGAUUGUUAGGGAGCCAUCUGCUGGCCUUAUUUCUCCACGAGGGAGGUGCCGCCUCAAAUGGGUCUCGGAGCUCAUAAACCUCCAUGGUAAUUGGGACAUGGAUAAACUAACGUAGUUUUUUCUCCCAGUGGAUAUUGUGGAAAUCUUGAAAAUCCAUUUGUUUACUCGCUUUGGGGAGGAUUUCUUGGCAUGGGCACAACGGUAUGUUCUCUGUCCGGAGUGCAUACAAACUUGCUAGUGAUGAGUUGAUGAACCCACGGGGACACUCCUCCAGCGCCAGAUCGGAUGGCACACGGGAGUGCUGGAAACACAUUUGGAAAAGUACGGCUCCACCAAAAGUUCAGAGUUUUGCGUGGAGAUUGGCCACAGACUCAUUGGCAAACUGGACUAACAAAGUCAAAAGGAAACUAGAGGUGUCACCGUUAUGUACAGUGUGUGGUAUGGAAGAGGAGGAUUUAUUCCAUGUGUUCUGCAGUUGUAAUCAUGCGAGGGUGCUAUGGAAGCUGAUGGCAAAGGAGUAGAAGCUCCCACCUAGAUCUUUGUUAAAGCCGGCCGGCUCUGAUUGGUUUAUCAAACUCUUGUCUGAACUGAAUGAUGAAGGCAGAGUGCAUGUGUUUAUGUUGUUUUGGAGAAUCUGGUUUGUUCGUAAUGAGAUUGUCCAUCACAAGCAGCUACCUCCAAUGGACGUGUCAGUGUAGUUUUUGUCUAGUUACCUGUCCUCACUUUAUAACAUCAAAGCCGAUCUACACUAUGAUCCUAUCAAAGGGAAAGUCGUCGUGGAUACAGGUUUUAAUCCAAUACCAUCUGUUGGCUGCUCUGUAGAUGGGUGGUUGAGGCCCCUUGGACUAAACCGGACAUUGGUAGAGUGAAACUAAACACAGAUGCUUCAGUGGCUGGAGGGGAAGCAGGAUCUGGUAUGAUUCCAAGGGAUCAUGAGGGUUCCAUUAUCUUCACUUCAUGUAGACACAUACAGGGAUGCUGUGAUGUUCUGGAAGCCGAGCUCCUGGCCUUGCGAGAGGGUAUUUUGCUGGCGUUGCAAUGGAGCAACUUACCCUUGGAUAUUGAGUCGGAUUGUCUGGAAGCGAUCAAGAUGAUAAACAGAUGCAGUAGUAACAAGUCUAGGUUUGCUUUCAUUAUAGGAGAGAUCACCAGGAGUUUGGGGGAACGAAGUUCUUGCAUUGCUCAUACUCGUCGGAGUUGUAAUAGGGCUAGUCAUUCCUUGGCUAACUUUGGUAGGUUGCAUCACCGAACUGUUGUUUGGCUAGGCUCUGGUCCGGAGGAAGUCCUGUAAACCAAAGUGAGUAAUGCAUGAACUUUAUACCGCAAAAAAAAGCUGCUGGAAAUAAACAGAAAAGACAAUCAAAAUACCAUGCCAUUAGUUGGGCCGUUCUGCUUGUAGGCUACAGGCCCAGUGUGCCCGUUUUACUAGAAAGCAAGAAGGCACGACACCUCUGACGUGCCUUCGAGCACGGUACAGGAUCUGGUUCCUUGUCGAGUUGGCACCGAUACAAGCUGGGUGGCCGACAAAAGUUAGGGCGUUUCAUUUUUUGCCCAGCCAAUCCCUCCCAUUCGACCCCUUUUCCCACACUUUGGAUUCCAUGGUGACAGGUGGUGGAGGUGUCAGUGGUGGAGGUCUGGCGGCGAUGGUGCUGCUUGUGCCGAUAGUGGUGGUGGUUCGCUGAUCUGGAGGACAAAAGGAAGCGGAAGAAUCGGUGGUGCCACAUGUCCACAUGGUAUGCCAAGCAUCGUGCAGCGGACCUUCAGAAAUCAUUUGAGCAAAAAAUUACCCUACCUAGCUAUACUAUCAGUGUGGUUGGGCCAUGGUUGUAGUGUCGAGAUGUAUGCGAACAGUCCCGGUGCCUUGGCCCACAGCGACGACUCGUAGGUGAUUUCGGCGCGUCCCGGCCAUGAGCGUGUAGUGGAGGCAGUGGCGAGGUGUCUUUCCUAGCCUGAGCCAGGGAGAGGGAGAGCCGAUGGCGGUGGUGCGCGACAGUGGUGCUAGCAGAGGCUCGUCAGAGCACCGCGACUACUUCCUUGAUCUCAAGACGAUCAUCAUCGAAGAGAAGGAGGAAGAAAGAGAGGGAGAGGGGGAGAGCAGCCAGUGGUUGUCGAUGCGGUGUCCAGUGGUUGCCAGAGCGUCAUCCAUGUCAUCAGUAGAAGAAGACCUCAGCCAUUUGAUCUGGAUAGAUGGACGAAUGCGAUCGCAAUCCAUGAGAUGGCCAAGCCGACCUAUCAAAACCCACAAGAGGGCUUUCAUGCUUUGCGAGUGUUGCAUUCAUUAAACACUCAAUUCUUUGUCGAGUGUUGCACUCGACAAAGUUAUUUUAUAUGACUUGGAAAAUAUUUAACUUGUAUACUCAAUUUUUUUUAUCUUAUACAUCUAAAUACAAUUUUUUUACAUGUAAUAUACAACAUAUGAGUUAUUUUGUAGGAGUUUCCAUAAUUUUGAAUUGAUUUAGUCUUUUCUAAAGUAUAAAUGCAUUUGAUUGCUCAAAUAUAGCAAAUGGACCCUUAAAAUGCGAAACUUUGACUAUGUUACAUAGAAGUGCAAUGAAGUGCUUCUUCAAUCCCGUCUUCUUCCUCCAAUCCCUCAAAGUAGAACUGGCUAGACAACCUACUCAUGCCUCAUGUGGCCGGCGGCGCUUCCACACACUCAUUGCUUCUCCACCCUCCCUAAGCCAUCGCACAGACCAUUCCUCCAGCCAGUUGUUGUUUUCUGCAUGUUUUUGACUUCUCAGAAAAUUAAUAUCUACGGAGGUACAAAUACUUGUGGAUUUAAUACAAUUUUUUCGCGACACGAGGAAUCCAAAGGUACCGGAGCUAGAUGAGAGGACCCACAGGGCCUCCAUGUGGGUAGGGGUGUGGCUAGGGGCUGACCCGUGCCCUUAGGACGCGUGGGCCCCUAUUAACCGCCUUACGUCCAUUCUUUGCCUAUAAAUUCCAUAAUUCGAGAAACCCUCAGUACCAAUUUUCUUUGAUUUUUUCUGCCGUCGCAAGUUCCUGUUUCAAGGAGAUCCAAUUUGGAGGCUUGUUCCGGCACCCUGGUAGAGAGGGAAUCCAUCAACAAAGGCUUCUUCAUCAACCUUGCUGUCUCCAUGACCAUGUGUGAGUAGUUACCUUAGGACCUUAGGGUCCAUAGCAGUAGUUAUAUGACACUCUCUUGUUCUUCAAUACUACAUUCUCGUGAGCUGCCUCACAUGAUCGGAUCUAUCUUAUGUAAUCUGUGAUGUGUUUGUUGGGAUAUGAUGGAUAGUCACUUUACAGAUUGUUCAUUGAAAUCAAUUGAAUCCUUUGAAGUUUCUUUGUUUUAUAAUUGAAUAGCUUUUUAUGCUCUUCGAUCUAUUUGUUUCCUUUAACUAAGUAUGAUGGGUAGUUCCAUAGAGGGAAUUGUGCAUUGUAGUGGGUUAUAAUCUUGCGGUGAUUUAUAUCCCAGUGAUAAUAAGGGACAAGAUACAUAUUGUAUUGUUGCCACUAAGAACAAAGCCCUAGUUUCUUGUCAUAUUAUUUGAUAUUUUACUAUCUAUAUUAUGUCAUCUUACUUAUUGCAAUGCUCUUUUUGUCAUGAAAUUAAUACUUCGGGGUGCAUGCUGGAUAGCGGUUCUGGGUUGGAGUAUUAGUUAUAGAUACAGUCCGAUAACGGUCUACAUAUCACUGAUGUAAUGCCUAUAUGAGAUUAUACCAUGAACAAUCACAUUCAUAAAUAUAAAUAUUACAAUUUAAUCGCUGCACAACUGUAAUUUGUUCACCACACCACACUUUAAUGCUUAUGAGAGAUUCCACUAGUGAACAUAUGCCCCCUGGGUCUAUUAUCUAUUAAUGAAAACCUUAUCAAAAAUAUUACUUUUUGUUAUAUCAUUUCGUUUAAUUUAUCUUUUAUCAAUUCCUACCAUACCAUGCAAUUUAAUCUUGUAAAAAGCAACACAAGAAGCUUGACAUCCUUGUUUAUAUUUUUGAUAAGCUUGUUUUGUGCCUUGUGUACAGGUACCAAUGACUUUGUUUGCUGGAAGAACUCCUUUUGGUUCGACAAACCUUGGUUCUCUACUAAGGAAAAUAUUUAUUGCUAGGUUACUUCAUCCUUAUACUUGGGGGGGGGGGGGUACCCAACCACUCUUAGAGAGAGUAAGCAAUGCAUCAUUGUGGUCACGACAUCUUGGACCUCGACCUAACGCAUAAUCGAGUGACGUGAAACAAAUUUUGAGGAAGAAAAGAGGUGCCUCCUAAUGGGAAGCUGACAUGUGAGACCCACUGAAAGCACAAGUGCUCCCUGGGUGAUUUUGGUAAUUAAUGCCAACAUAUCUCUUGUUGUACUAAUGUUUCCACCUAGUAUGUUUCAGACAAGUUCAACAAUGGAGUGGCAUGGACUAUAGGAUGUGGAACCCCUUCAAUAUGCUAAGGACAAAGGAUUGGCUCAAGCUCAAAGCUCAGGACUCUACAUUCUCUAUUUUAGCGAUCCAAGAUCACAUUGAGUCCAUAGGAAAGCCAAUACUAUUAAGAAGGGAUGAGGUGUUCUUAAUGGCUUGUUUGCUAAAAGUGCUUAGUGAUAUGCUCCAAAGCCCUCAACCACUUUCUCACUUCCAAAUUUGUCCCAAACCAAAAGUCAAACUCGGCCCCACCGAUUCUUUCUAUUCGGAGCCACCGACACUAGUACAGAACCGGGCUUUAGCGCCGGUUCGUAAGGGCCUUUAGUGCCGGUUCCACAACCGGCACUAAAGAGUGGGGACUAAAGGUCCACCCUUUAGUACCGGUUCAUCACGAACCGGCACUAAAGUGCCACCACGUGCCACGAGCCAGGCCCGGGUGCAUGUAGGUCAUUAGUACCGGUUGGUAACACCAACCAGCACUAAAUGUUUUGGUUUUAUUUUUUAUUUUUCCAUUAAUUUUGUGUUUUCCAUUUAAUUCUUUUUUGUUUGCUGAUAUUUUACGAUACUACGUAUUGUACACGUUAUGCAUAUAUAUAAAUAAAUUUUCUCGUAGAACAUAUAUAUAUAUAUAUCAUUGAAUGUCUAACAACCAUCAUUAAUUAUUCACACAUACACAUGUAUAUAUAUAUACAAUUUCUCCUACUUGUUGCCUUGGUGCCUUUGGAGCACGAUAAUAAGUGGUUCAUGGGGCGAUAGCGGGUAAUAGUAUUUUUCUUUCGGAUCUAUGACCUGGUAGAGCAAAAAUCCCGCUAUUUACUCUUGAAGUGCUAGUAUGCGCUCCGUUGUUAGGAGCUUCUCCCGCACCUCUUUGAACUGUUAAGAAGGAGAUCAAUAUGCAUGUGUAUUAGUUGUGUGAAUAGAUAUCGAUAAUGAUGUAAAUAUUAUGAAUAGUGUUCUGGAAAACGUACCAAUUCCUGUCUUUGAGAUUCGCUCCUUUCGGACGCCAUCAUGCGAAUGUUCUCGCAAACGUAGUAUGCACACAGAUUAUUCCCCAGAGCCUGCCUUAGGGCCUUUACAAGAAUGGAAUUUAAUCAGAUAAUAAUUAAUCAAGCAUGAUAAAUAAUUAAUGGUAUUGAAACAAGAAUUAAAGAGAUGGUAAGCUAGCUAGUAAUACUUACUUACUUACCUUGGGUCGAUACCAAUACAACUUUUGUCGCCAUUUGCCUGGAGUCACCUUGAUGAACUUUGCCCAAGCCCUGCCCGCCAGCAAAGAAAAUGAAUAAAGGGGUUAUUAAAUAGUUUGAUAUCAGAAAAUGGCGAACUAAUUAAAUAGGCCGAGAUAUAGUUAAUAAUUAUUGAAAUUACCUGCCGACUAUCCCCUUCACGAUGACGAAGUCACUUUCUGCCUUAAGUAGUGAGUUCAGUACUUCAACUGUUCCUUUAUCAACUUUAAUGAUUAACAAGAUCAAGUGGAAACUGCAUGUGUACACGUUUACAUGUCUUAUUAAGCAGGCAUGUGCACAACACUAAUCAACUAGCCUAAACCCUAUACACUUAAUUAUUAGCAUCUAGCUAGCUAGUAAGCAAAAAUAGAAUUUGUAGUACAAGACAGUGUGACUCACAGAAAAUUGUAAGAAAGUAUUAUAUCUUCAUUGUUAUUGAGGCGCUUGAAGAACUCUAGCAUGCUUUCCUCUAAACUUGCUCGACAACUUGGAAUAUUCCAUGUGUACUCAUUAACGGUAUUAGGGUCAAUGAACCUAAUGCCAUAGCAUUCAGAUUUUUUCAUUUCAUACAUCUUCAUCCUGCAUAAUACCACAGAAAAGAAUAUAGUGAGGAUAAUUACAGGUAAUGAUUGAUCAAAAUGAUCACUACAACUAGUUUGAGACUUAAAUUACAGAAAGAAAUCAUUUACAGACAAUAGCAACUGACGAAAGAUUUAUCGAGUGCGUCUUGAUUGUAUAACUGAAAUAGUUUUGAAUACUCAAUGGACAGAGCUUUCUCAUGGUAGUAAUGCUCCUCCUUGACAUUCACCAUGAGGGACUCUCGAUUGGAAAUCUUGGUAAUGUUCAUGUACCACUGAUGCAAUUCAUACAUUCUCGUAGGGAGGUUCUUGACCUCCUCGGGCUUGACCAAAGGUUGGCGGCGGACAUAUUGCCGUUUUAUUUCCUCCUCUCUAAGAGGAGACAUGGGCUCGAUGUCGAGGAGUUGUCCAACACUGAUACCGAGCAUUUUAGCCUGCCUUAUAUGCUCCUCGGUUAUUACCAAAUUGUUCAGCUGGGGAACGGUUUGCCCACAAUAAUAUACGGCGCGCGUACUCUCAUGUGUUGUUGGCACAACAAGCGGGGGAUUGAUUGCGCCGCCUGUUCUCCCAGCUGGGGAACGGUUUUCCCGCAUUUUUUGGCAGUUGCUUGUUGGACCGAGCUCGAGCUCGCUUCCCUCUGUAAUCGUGCUCGAUGUGCCUUUCUGAGUUGGCGCUCAUAGUCAGAGUCAACAGGCUUGGGAGCUGGUGCUCUAGCCAUACGAAGUGGUCAAUCUUUUCCUCAGGCACUUUCUCCCUUGGCGGCGGUGCCGGUUUCGGUCCAAAAUGGGUGUCCACUUGGGCCUUCACUAUGGCUUUGUUUUGCUCCCCGGUUAGGUCGUAAGGCCUCUGAGGAAGAGGAGCGAGGCUGCUUGGACCAUAUUUAUAUCGCUUGCCUCCGCCUGUACCUCCUGUACUACCUCGACUCGUACCGCUACACACCAUAGCUGCGGCGUGUCUCUUCUGCGAUUGCUGAGGCGGCAGAGAUGGCUGACGUGGCUGAGUUGGAGCAGGAGUCUGCUCACACAUUGGUGGACUUGGAGGAGCGGGAGUCUGCUGACACGGUGGCGGACGUCGAGGAGGAGUCGGCUCAAGCGUUCGUGGGCUUGGAGGAGCGGGAGUCUGCAGACACGAUGGCGGACUUCGAGGAGGAGUCUGCUCACGCGUUCGUGGACUUGAAGGAGCGGGAGUCUGCUGACACGGUGGCGGACUUCGAGGAGGAGUCGGCAGACGCGGUGUCGGUGGACUUCGAAAGAUGAUGCAAUCAUUUCUCCAUAGGAUGAUACGAUGUAUGGCCUCUCCCUGUGUGUGCUCAUCGUCACCUCCAGGAAUGUCAAGCUGUAGCCCCGAAUAUGGGUCCACCACCUCAUCAACCAAGACACGAGUAUAGCCCGCUGGAAUCGAGGCGCAAUGGAAGGUUGCUUCGGGGGUAAUUGUAAAAGCAACGGUGUCCGCCACCUUCAUGGAUAUGUUCUUUAUUUUGAAGUGUAGCUCACAGCUAGUGUUCUCUGUGAUGUCAUCCACAGGAUAUGUAUCCAGCAGUACGUCGCCCGGGGCGGAACCAACGCUGCUUCUCGGCAUGGAUGGGACGGUGCUAUAUGCACUACUAGAUAUUCUGUUUUAGCCGAGGGUCCAAUUACCGUCGGAUAUUUAAGUUCACCGUCGGAUACUUUUAUAACUGACGGUAUACCGUCGUCCAUCUCCCGUCGGCUAUGCUUCGUCGGCCAUUACACUAAUAGCCAACGGUACCGUCAUAUUAUAUCUUUGCCCACGGUGAGAAGCCGACGGUGAGCCGUCGGAUAUCUUGUUGCCUACACCUGGCUCCCAGUAGGUCGAAUGCACUUAUAGCCGACGGUUCACGGUCGGGUGUUUAUCAUCCGACGGUUAUUGCUUACCGUCGGUUUUCUUAAUAGCCAACGGUAUAUACAACCCGUCAGGGUUACGUAGAACUGAGAGGAGAGCCGAACCAUCGGUUAAUGUGAUUAUCGAUGGUGCAUACACCCCUUCGGGGAUUCCUUUAGUUGAGAGGUUAGCCCGCGCCUUCAAUUUAGAAAGUCGCCAACAGUCUAAAGUGCAUGCAUAUUCUGUAUCCAAGAUGUUUGUUGCACCAUGGGCCAUUUGUCAACCCUCACUGAAUUAAUUUCACUAAGAGGUGUUGCACCACAGGGAAGUGCGAUAUAUAACACAAUAUUUCAUAAUGUUGGUAUUUCAAAUACAUCUCAUAAUUACACAACCGCACAUGAAAAUUCUUUUUAAUUUAUUUAGCAUAAUCGAAGUAUUACAAACCUAAUGAGUUGCAUAUGAAUUACAUUUACCAUAACAAUCCAUCUAGGAAUUGUUGAAUGCAAAACAAAAUAGUGACAAAGAGGUCCAGACAAUUUUGCGUCAGCAACUUCAGAGCUCUACUUUAUCACAAUGCUUAUCGCCAAAGCUAUCAUCUCCCUUGUUGCCAUAGAUGUCAUCCUCAUCAUCAUCAAUGUCAUGAUCAUUCUCACAGCUCGGACCUCUUCUAAUAUUUCUUCACGUUCCUUAAGAAAUGACAAGACUAGAUGUGAGAGAGAUGCAAAACAAUGCAAUGCAUUUGAAAUUAAAUUGAACUACAGGGAACACAUUUUAUUAGGGAAGGUACAUAGAACAAAUUUUAUUGUUCUAGAAACAUCUAUGCAUGGAGAUAUAUAGCUAAUCACGUACUGUUGGAACUAGAAACUACAUCGACAAUUACUAGUGUUACAACAGUAAUUCAUUCCUUUCCAAACCAUACAUCUGAGCAAUAGAAACUAAAAUAUAUAGAUGAACAGUAAAUAUAAAACUAGUAUUUUGCAUCUUUUAUCCACAAGGCUAAAUACUAGUACUUUUUGACCUCUUAAUAUACUUCCAUGUAUUUUUGUGUAUUCACGCAAGACAAAAUCUAUUUACCCAUCGGAAUAUUCAGUUAUUUGUGGUACUAUUUUCCUAAUUGUUGUAUAUGUAGUUGUACCUUUACACAACUAGCGAUUAAUGGAAAAGCCAAUAAAAUUGUGGAGGACAUCAUAAUAGAUUUCUCAAAGAGAAGGGAUGUCGCUGCCAUGAAUUUGGAGAGGCAAGAGAGAUCUGGGGCACAAGCUACCUUCAGGUUCCAAGGAUAUCUUUUUGACGGGCAAGGAAUUCCUCAUUCACUUUACAAGGACAACACAAAACUUGAGCCUAUGUUUGCAUAGUAACUGCAUACGGAACAGAAAGUUAUACUGACCCAUAAAGGAUGAAGCAGAAGGCGUAUGUGUUGAUGCUCGAGUCGAACACUUCAUUUCUGUACAGCUUAAGCACAGUGUAGUAACCUAAAUUGCAGAAAAGUAUAAUAAGUUUGUCAGCAAAGCCUUAUCUGAAUGCUUCUCAUUUUAUUGUUGUUGAAAUUAGACUUACUGAAGCCGUCGACAAGGGCUCGUGCUUCACCAAUUUCACCUUGUUCACAACGAUCUUGGACAGCCUCAUCAGUCUGAAUCCUCCUGCUUUCAUUAGGCCUAUGUUAUGGAAAAUAUUUCUGGUACCUUACCAAGAUUCAAAUAGUCCAGUGUGGCACAAACCAUGGCAAUGUUUUUGCAUCAUCUAAAUAUGCACGUAUUUCCUCAUGUUACUUUGUUCCUGAAUAACUAGGUGUACAAAUUAAGCGAAGUUACUACUACUAUUCCCUUGUGGUAGUAUUUCCAGUAUAGUUGUGUGAAUCGUACCAAUUUUGACAUCUUAGCUAGCAAGGAUUUGACAUCAGAAAUCAAUCAGACUAGAAUAGAUGGGGAUUGCAACCUUAACUUGCAGAGGAGUACAAUAUAGUAAAUGGCGAACAACAGAGCCGAACCCAUUGCCUGCCACCACCGCUAGCGUACUGUUGUUGCAGAAAAAGAAGAAAGAAGAGACAAGGUGAGAGGAGAGAGGAAAUCCCGGGAAGGGAAAGGAGGCACUGACCUAGGGUCGUAGCCCACCGAGUGUUGCACGCCGCCGCAAAGAACUGGCAAGAGACGAGAUCUGGGUGCACUUGCACAUUACGGGAGGAUAGAAAGGGGUGAGAGGAGCAAAACGUCUCCAGCCUCCCCGGCCAUAGCUGCUGCGGAGUGGAGAGGCGAUAGGAGGAGUCGAUCUGAAGCUAGGCGACGGGGAGGUGAGGGCUGAUCUUUGGCAGCAAGGUGAGGACAGGCCACGACGGCUACCAGGGGAGGUUAGACGAAAGCGACCGGGAGUUCGUGCCGAGUGGGCUAUUUAGAAUUUUUUUUGUUUCGCGCUUGUGUGGUUUGAAACUUUCAACGCGCGUGUAAAUACGACUGAGAUUUCUUUUGCUACUUAUAUAUUCCUCUGUACAUCAGAACAUUAAUCAUCAUAAUUAUAUUUCAUCAAUUUAGGUGCAAUAAAGUAAAUUCAAUGUAUGAUAUUUAAAUAUAUACUUUGUAACAUUUUAAACUCAAAGAAAAUUAAAGAACGGCCUUUUUAUCACCCGGCGAAUCACACAUAUGUGUCAACCACUUUGUUCGAUUAAUACAUGUCCUAGGGGCUCCACACAUCGCUCUCCUUUAGUCUAAUAGCUUAUUCCGAAUGGAUGAACUCGUCUUGCUCGAGAGAAAUCAAUCUCAUCUCUGACCCGUCUAAAAGCGCGCUCCUCCCCCAUCCCAUGAGCUCCGCCAAGCAUCUGCUACUUUGGUGCGCACCGCCACCGUCGACACUGCUUCAACUCCCAGACCAAUAUGUUGCCAAUUGCUCCUUUUGUCACUGCAAACCGCUUAGACCGUUGCAUGCACAUGAUGCGGUCGUCGUCGUUGGCUUCAAGCCGAGGAGUCGCACACCACCAACCACCGCCGCUACAAGAGGAGGAUGUCGUUGCUACAAGACGGCCAGAUGGCAUCAAAGAAGUUUUGUCCUUGCAAGCGGCUGGGUUAGAUUGGACGCGCUGCCAACACUAUUAGAAAAAGGGUUAUAGAUGGGAUUGACAGUAAUGGCGCACCUGACAAGGGGUGCGCCAUUAGUAUAUACUAAUGGCGCACCACAAUCUGGUACGCCAUUAGAGUUGAAACUACUAAUGGCGCACCUUGCCCAGGGUGCGCCAUUAGUAUCAAUUUUUUUUGGAACUAGUGCACCUGUCCAAACAUACUAAUGGCGCAUCCAGAGAGAGUGCGCCAUUACUAGUUGUAACUAGUAAUGGCGCAUCUGUCGGAAAGUGCGCCACUAAUGUUGUUUUUUUAUUAUAUUUUUUUCCUUUUUUGCAAAACUACUAAUGGCGCACUGACUCACCGUGCGCCAUUACUAGUUCAAACUAGUAAUGGCGCACUGGAGGACAGUGCGCCAUUAGUAAAUUUUUUUUUGCAAAACUAAUAAUGGCGCACCACCAGAAGGUGCGCCAUUAGUAACCUAGAUUACUAAUGGUGCAUUUGGAGUUGGUGCGCCAUUAGUAAGUGGGCAGCAACAAGAUAUUUUGGGGAGCCUCUCCUACCCACACUCACUUUCUCCCCACUUCAUUCUCUCCACCUCCUCCUUGUCUCGGGUGCCUCCUCUUUUUCACCUCAUUUCCACCAUAGAUUCAUUCAAUUUAAGUGGUUAAAUUACCUUGUUUUGAUAGGUAAGUAAUGGGGGAAGCUAUAUAUUUAUGUAUUUCUCCCUACAACAAUGUGCACAUAUGCACUUUUUAUGGCCUAGCUAGAUCUAUGUAUGUUCGUGGUGUUGCAUAUGUGUUUGUGUUUGGAGGUGUACCGGUAUUUGAAAUGCGAUAGUUGCCAAUAUUUUGCCGGAAUGUUGAUUCAUUUCCGUUCCGGCGAGAAUUUUGGCAUUAAGCAUUCUUUUUGGUCCUAUUUUUAGGGGAAGUCAUGCCAAAUUUUUUCUUGGUUCUAAAAUAUUGUUUUGCUCUACCCCGCAGGCGACCAUGGUCCGCAUGAUGACCAAAGGCAUCGUGAAGAGGUUUUUGAGGUCCGCGAAGGCCGAGAUGCUUCAAAAGAACGAGACGGAGAUAAGAUGUCCGUGUCGAAGAUGCAAGCUGAAGAGCCUUAUUGCGGACCCGGAAUCCGGGCAGGUGCGGGACCACCUGCUCUUGCGUGGUUUCAUGGAUGGCUAUCGGUGGCAAGGUGAUGAAGAUGACUACGAAGUCGUUCAUGGGGCCGGGCAAGAAAUGAGGAAGGGCAGCAAGACAACCACCGCGGCUCGGGCGGGCGAGAAGACGAAGAAUCCCCAGGAGAUGAUCACGACGGUGAUGCUGUACACAGUCAUCAUGUAGAAGAUGCAGGACAUGAUGAUGAGGAAGAUGCCGGAGCAGACGACGCUGGACCAUCGAUGGGCUGGGUGCAGGACCCUCAUAUUCAAGAGCUGCUUCUCAAGCAGACGGAUAACGCAAGAGCUGCCGCCCGAGAGAAAGCCAAGAUGGAUCAACUUGAGUUAGACGCGGUCACUCCAUUGUAUGAAGGAUGCAGGCCCGAGGAUACCCGCCUGAAAGUAACGCUCAUGGCUCUGGAGAUGAAGGUAAAACACAAAAUCACCGACGCAUGCUUCGACGAGAACAUGUCAUUCUGGCACGAACGUCUUCCCAAGGGGAACAAGUGCCCGACCAGUUUGGAGGAGGCGAAGAAAAUCGUGUGUCCUCUGGAUUUACCACACGUGAAAUACCAUGUGUGCAUGAAAUAUUGCAUCAUUUAUCGGGACGAGCACGCGGAGUCUACCAUAUGUCCGGUGUGCGGCGUCACUCGAUACAAGAAGAGGAAGAAAGCUCCUCGAAAAGUGGUGUGGUACUUUCCGAUCACUCCUCGUCUGCAGCGGUAUUUUGCGGACCCUAAGGUAGCAAAGCUCCUGCGUUGGCACGCGGAUAGGGAGGAGAAGAAGCGAGAAGAUGACACAAAUGAUCCGGAGAUAGAUAAAAAAGACAAGAUGCUGAGUCACCCUAAGGAUGCGAGCCAGUGGCAAGCGUUGAACUUCGAAGACCCAGAAUUUGGGAACGAUCCAAGGAACAUCGUGCUGGGCGCGAGCACCGAUGGAGUCAAUCCGUUUGGCAGCCAGAGAAGCACACAUAGCACCUGGCCUGUGUUUGUGUGGAUGUACAACCUUCCCCCCUGGUUGUGCAUGAAGAGGAAGUACAUUCACAUGAGUAUGCUAAUUGAAGGACCAAAACAAUCAGGGAACGACAUCAAUCUGUAUCUGGGGCUGCUAAAAGAGGAGCUUGACACGCUGUGGAAAACUCCAGCCAAUACGUGGGACGCCGCAGAGAAAGAAUAUUUCCCUAUGAGACCCGCGCUGCUCACGACGGUGCAAGACUAUCUCGGUUACGGAUAUGUCGCGGGGCAGGUGGUCCACGGAUUUUCUGGAUGCGCCAGGUGCAUGGAUGACACAACGUAUCGCCAGCUAGAUAGAGAUCCCGGGUCUUCGAAAACCGUGUUCAUGGGACAUCGAAGGUGGCUUCGCGACGAUGACCCGUGGAGAAAACGCAAGGAUCUGUUCGAUGGUGAAACCGAACCCCGAGGACGCCCGCGUACGAGGAGCGGCGAGGAAAUAGACGAGCUGUUGAAAAAUUGGAAAGACUGCCCACUACCGGGAAAGAAGCAAAAGGCGUCAGAGCUGGGAAAAAAGUGAAAGGCGCCAGAGCCGCUGCUGAAGGUAUGGAAAACGAGGUCUGUUUUCUAGGACUUGCCGUACUGGAAGAUCCACCGUGUGCCUCACAGCCUUGAUGUCAUGCAUAUCACGAAGAACGUGCGCGAGAGUCUGCUUGGUACCCUGCUCAACAUGCCAGAGAGGACCAAAGAUGGGCCGAAAGCAAGGGCAGACUUGAAAUCAAUGGGCAUCAGGCAGGAGCUUCACACUAUAUAUGAUGAUCAUGAUGAUGAUGAUGAUGAUGAUGAUGAGGCGAAGCAGGACACGGAAAGUCGUCGCAAAGGCAAGAAGGCCAAGAAGACCGGAAAUGACUACCCUCCCGCGUGCUUCACUCUAAGUCAGGAGGAGAUCGAGCAGUUUUUCACCUGCCUCGUAGGAGUAAAACUUCCUUACGGUUACGCGGGGAAGAUAAGCAGAUACCUAGACCCAGCGAAGCAGAAAUUCAGCGGGAUGAACUCUCACGACUGUCACGUGCUGAUGACGCAGAUACUUCCAGUUGCAAUCCGUGGGAUCAUGGACGCGCACGUCCGUGAAACCCUAUUUGGCCUAUGCAAUUUUUUUGACGUCAUCUCUCGGAAGUUUGUUGGCGUGAGGCAACUCAGAAGGCUACAGGAAGAGAUCAUGGUGAUACUAUGCGAGCUUGAGAUGUACUUCCCGCCCGCAUUCUUCGACGUUAUGGUGCAUCUGCUGGUCCAUAUCGUGGACGAUAUCAUCCAACUCGGGCCGACGUUCCUGCACAACAUGAUGUCGUUCGAAAGGAUGAAUGGUGUCAUCAAAGGAUACGUUCACAACAUGUCACAUCCAGAGGGAAGCAUAGCCAGGGGCUUUCUGACCGAAGAGUGCAUCUCCUACUGCACGAAUUAUCUAGGCAUCGAGAACCCCGUUGGUCUGCCCGUGAACAGGCACCUCGGCAGGCUCGCUGGAUGGGGUCACCGUGAGGGUCGUCGUGAAAUGCAUGUCGACUUCGAGGGUCGACUCGCCGACUUUGAAAGAGCAAACCUAGUCGCGCUACAACACAUAGACGUGGUCGAUCCUUGGGUGGUACAGCACAAAACCUUUAUUAAGAAGACGUACAAUGACCGAGGCCAACAGAGGACGGACGGAGAUAUACUCAAAGAGCACAACUCAUGUUUCACGCGUUGGUUCAAGCAGAAGCUUCUGUCAUACCCUUUACAUGAGGAUUCUUCCACGGAAGAACAACUCAUAUUCGCCUUGUCACAGGGCGCCGAGCACAACCUGAUGACCUAUGAGGCGUACGAUAUCAACGGCUACACAUUCUACACCGAGGCCAAGGACAUGAAGAGCGAUGGUUAUCAGAACUCCGGGGUAACGAUGGAAUCCUACACCGGUAACGACAAGGACAGAUACUACGGAAGGAUCGAGGAGAUCUGGGAGCUGAGCUAUGCUGGAGAGAAGGUCCCGAUGUUCCGUGUCAGAUGGGCCAAGAGCGUCCUAAAAGAAGACCGGUAUUUCACCACCAUGGUUAUACCCGAAGCCAAAUCCAAGACCGCGGGCGCAAACGUCACCGCGAAAAAUGAGCCAUGGGUACUGGCUUCCCAACUGGACCAAUGCUUCUUCAUUACCGACCCGUCAAAGCCCAGUCGUGUUGUCGUGAGGAGAGGCAAAAGGAAGAUAAUCGGAAUGGAUGGAGUAGCCAAUGAGCAAGACUUCGACAAGUACGGCGACCCGAGGAUCGAACAUGACGACGAUGAUGAAGUAGCAACAUACACCACAAGAAGAAGCAGGACCACCCUACCUAAAGGACGUCCGUUCCACAGAAGAACUCCAUUUGCGAAAAAGAAGGGCAAGAAGAUUGUGAACAGAUAGCUAGCUAAGAUCGAUUGUAUUUAAAUCGGAGCCUUCAUUUCUCGAUUGUAUUUCAUGGGCACUUUUUGAACUAUCAUGAAUAUUUUUAAAUCUCAUGGACACUCGAUCUCGAUCCCCCUCCAUCUCGAUCGCUAUCCCACCUCGCCAGAUCCGGUCCUCCUCGCUGCCGAGCACCCCCCGGUCCACCACCCGCCGCCGCCGGCCCCCCGCACCCUCGAUUCCCCUACUCAAUCGCCGCCGCCGGCCCCCCGCACCCUCGAUUCCCCUACUCAACCGCCGCCGCCGACCCCCCCGCACCCCGCGCACCCUCCCCCGCUCCAUCGGCAUUACUGUUUGAUGAUAUUAUUUAAAAACCUAUUACUGUAUUAUAAAAAAAUAUUACUGUUAUGAUUUAAACAAGUUUGAACAUAUUUAAACACAAAUAAGUAUCAAACAGUAUUUUAAUGCAUUAAAAAAAUUGUGGAGCCUGGGAAUCGAACCCAAGACCUCCUGGUGUGAGAACUGGCUGCUGACCAGUUGAGCUAGUAGAGGGGACUUGAUGUGGAUCAGCUCAGGUGGUAGAUAACCUGUUGGCUCGAGCAAAAUACUAAUGGCGCACCAGGGUGAGGUGCGCCAUUAGCAUGAAUGUACUUAUGGCGCACCGAGGGGUGGUGCGCCAUUAGUAUUGUGCCGCCCCCGCCCAUCCAUACUUCCUCCCGGCCCAAACCUAUCGAUCCCCUCUCUCUCUCCCUCGAUCCCCUUCCCCUCUCCUCUCCCGACGCCGCUGCCCCGCCGCCUCGACGCCGCCCCGACGCCGCUGCCCNNNNNNNNNNNNNNNNNNNNNNNNNNNNNNNNNNNNNNNNNNNNNNNNNNNNNNNNNNNNNNNNNNNNNNNNNNNNNNNNNNNNNNNNNNNNNNNNNNNNNNNNNNNNNNNNNNNNNNNNNNNNNNNNNNNNNNNNNNNNNNNNNNNNNNNNNNNNNNNNNNNNNNNNNNNNNNNNNNGCCGUCCCUUGCCCCUGCGCCCCUUGCCCCGACGCCCCGACGCCGCCCCUUGCCCCUGCGCCCCUGCGCCUCGAUGCCCGACGUCUCCAACCACCGCCUCGACGCAAGCAGAGGGGCUUCUCCUCCCCUUCGACGCCAAGCAAGCAGAGCGGCUCCUCCUCUCCCUCGACGCCAAGCCAGGUGAGCUGCCCCCUCCCCCCUCGGCUGCUUGCUUCUAUCCAUCCUAACCCUAGGUUGGUUGCAUUGCUGCCCCCUCCCUCGUUUGUGAUGAUUCUAUGCUACAAGAUCCAAUCCAGUCUGACCAUGCCUAGCCCCUUCUCCAUUGCAGCAGCCCGCCACACUCCUCUCGAGGAGGAGAGGAGAGGAGAAACCCGCGCAGCGCCGUCACUUCCCGCACGGCCUCGGCAUCGUCUCCUCCCCUCCAAGCUCCAUUGAAUCCAACCUGCUGCUAAGGUGAGCUGCACCUCAUUAGAUCUACCUUCCCCUCCUUAAUUAUGAUAGUCAAGUGACUAAUUCUGCACAGCAACAUGUCACUUCUGUUAAAUUUUGAUUUCUGAAUGUUUCUGAUGUGCAAGCAUAUCUAGAUUAGUAGGACUCUAGUCAUGCUGGUCGUUGGUGAUAUCUGCAUUCCUACUGUUAGGUUUCCUGUGUUUCUGAAUGUGAAAGCAUAUCUUGACCCCUGGAACUUUGCAUGGCUAGUAGAUCGACGGUGGUAUCCACAUACGUAUUGACUAGAUAUGUGUUGACUGUUACUGUAGGAUUCUGAUAUGCAAGUUUUUUUGGAUCCAUAGAACCCCUGCACAGCUAUUUUUUCAUGUUUCUGAUGCGAACCUUAAUUUGCAUUGAUGCCUUCCCGUUGUCAUUUUGAUAUGGCUUGUUUAGGUUUCUCACAUGCAAGUUUAUUUGAUUCACAGCAGCAGCAACUAUAAUUUUUCUGUAACUUUCUCUUCUCUAGUGAGUUGGGUCACCGUGAGUUCCUGUUUGUGAUGUGUAAUCUUCUCUAGUGACCACUCCAUCUGGUGGUGGUCAGCUACUUGUUCAAUUUAUGCAACUGUAAGAGUACCAAAUAGAUUACACAAAUCAUUUUUGAUCUGCAAGGUUGUUGUUGCUGUGAUGGAGUAACUCUGUAAGAUGGAGUACAUAUUUGGUUUGGUUGAUUGCCUGGCAUGAGCUAGAUGAAAUGAUCUAUUUCUCCUGAUGUGAAAUGAUCCCUUUCUCCUGAAAUGUUGAUUAAUUUCCGUUUCGGUUGAGAAUGGGGCACUCCUAGGUCAAGAAAAUUAGCAAAGGUCAUGCCCAAUUUUCUUGACCUAGAAGGUGCCCGAUUCACAAAUGCACCUCUGAACACUUUGGGUUUUGGGUGAAACUUCAAUUGCUUGAAAUGACUUUCUUGACUUAGGUUAUGACUUGCUAGUAUGUGGAGCCAUUUUGUGUUUGUUUGUAAUACCCAAUUUUGGGGUAAUUACAUUGGUUGCUUGCUUUGAAUUCCUAUUAUAUGAUUGUUUGUGUGGGUGUGUGUACCAAACUAAAAAUCCACUCAUGACUUGUUUUUCUUCAGAGUACAAAUUCAAAUUUGAGCUCUAGACCUGUCUUCACUUCUGUUUAAAGAUUGCCUUUUGAGAGGCUUACCAGAAUUAUUAAAACUUGUCUAUAUGGCAAUGCACGUUCCUAGAUCUCCUCUACAUAAUAUAUACUUCCUAUCUAGCCUGAUAAAUUGGAUUUUGAAAUUCUCUAGCUAUUUCUUCCAAAUCCCUUUUGAAGGCUAAUCAAUAUUGUGACCAUAACCAUUUGUAUCAUGAAGCUUUUUGGCUCACUUGAACAAAUUCAAAAAUGAUGGUAUUAUGGCAUAUCCUCAGCAUCUCAAGAACUAGGUUACCCCUCAAGAACUAGGUUACCCUGAGAACGUGGACUUGGACCUUAGCAACAACACACUAACAGGUUCUAUCCCAAAACACCUAGGCAAUAUACACAAACAUCUCUCAAUUGUUCCUUGACAAUAACCAACUUUUUGGCGACAUUCCUCGAGAAUUAGGUUAUUUGGUCAACUUAGAGAUCUUGUUCCUUGACAAUAACCAACUUUUUGACCAAACUUUGUUCCUAUUUAGAGAGAAACAUGGCCAACAACGAUGAGGCCGGGGGUUCGGGAGUCAAGGCAUUCUGGGAGCUGUCCCAAGAGAUGGAGGAACAACCUCACUUGUAUGAGGCCGCCGCCUUCCCCACCGAUCCUGAGACCACUGAUGGUACCGCCGAGGAUGACCCCACUGAUGCCACCACUGAUGGUGCCGCCGAGGAUGCCACCACUGAUGAUGGCGGCGCAUGCACAGAUGGCAGCCAACCGAAGAGGCAACGGAAGGACCGGCGCCCGACCGUGCUCCGCACCCUCAAGGAGGAAGUUACUGAAGUGGACUCCGACGGGAAUCCAACGGCGCCCGAACGAAUAGUCAAGGGGUACUCGCUUCAGCUCGGGUGCAUUCUCCGGAGCACCGUCUCGAUCAACACCGAGAACCUCAGGCAUCCUAACCACGGGAAUUUGCGCAACCUCCUAUUCACGAAGCUGCACGAACGAUACAAGUUCCCUGCUGAAUUUGAAAACACAAGCCUCAAAGGGAAUAAAGUGAACAGUACUGCCCUCACGAAGAUGAGCACGGCCCUGUCUACUUGGAAAAGCAAUGUGAAGAGAAUGAUCGAGAAAGGUGAGAGUUAUGAGAAGAUCAAGGAGAAAAAUCCUUCGAUCACCGAAGAUGACUACAACGACUUCAAGAUCACUUGCUCGAGCACCGCAAGCUCCGAAUCAAGUAAGUGGGGGAAAGAAAUGCGGGAGCUGAACUUAGGGGAACACACACUCGGUCCCGGCGGUUACAGAGUGGCGGAGCCUAUAUGGGACAAGGAGGAUGCGGACCGUGCCGAGCAAGGCCUACCGCCCCUCUUUGAUAAAUACGGUGACAAGCAGACCAGGAACUUUGUCAAGGCCCGGUACAAGGACCCGAAAACAAAGGAGCUUACCACGGAUCCGAAGACCAGGGAGCUUGAGCUUGUUCUGGUAAGGAAUACACCCCCGCGUAAUUAGCUUCAUAUGGUUGCAUUCUAAUUAAUGAAGCCAAAUUUCUAAAUGGUUCACAUUCCUUCCGCAGGCGACUGAAAGCAGUAGCGCGGGGUCGACUAAGAGCAACCCUUGGCACACCACUCUAAAUAGGGCAUUGAAUGUAAUGAAGAACAAGGAUAAGCUCAGUAAGCCGACGUCAGCUGGUCGUGUGGCCGGCAAAGGCUUGUCGAGAAAAUGGUCGUCAUACUAUAACACUGGUGGGCGAAAGGAGAAAAAGACCAGCUCAGAAAGCCAGGCGUGCGAGGUUCAAGAACUCAGGGCACAGGUGGCGCGGAUUCCGGAGAUGGUCCAAGAGCAAGUGGAAUAACAACUCGGAAGGACGAUGACCGCCAUUGUGCCUACCUUGAUCCAGGGGAUUAGUGCGUGGAUUGCGGGCGGCCAACAGGGGCCGCCCCCGAUUCCUAGCUUCACGUCCAGCAACUCGCAGAACGCGAUGGCCGGGCCAUUGGUGUCUCCGACGGAGGCGGCAUUGGUGUCUCCGACGCCGGCACGGGAGCUUAAUGCACCCGGGUGUACGUCGGCCGGCACCUCUGCAGCAAGUGGCCCCUCCGUCAACUGCACGCCCGCCGUUGGCGGUGCCUCGACAUUAGCCGAGCUCGACGCCAUCAUCACGGUAACUAAUUAAGCCCCUCUCGGCCGAGGACUUCAUCUCCUUGCCUUUGACUGGGCAUCCCUAACGCCCUACAUGUUUUCGCAGGGCGCCGCCGACGUUCCGUGCACUCUCCUGCACUUCAUGAACAACGAGUUGGUCGAUGUCACCAAGGGCAAAAUCGUUCAACCGGGCAACCCCUUGUUCCACGGUACCCAGAUGCCACCCAACUUGUUUAGGGUUCAACUGGUUCGGGUGCUGCCAGGCUGCGACGAGUUGUUACCUCCGAUUCGACCCGUCGGGGCCGACGAUGAUGACGUGAUGACCCUCAGCGCCUGCCUGAGCUGGCCCCUGCUUUGGCCGAAGAGCCAGAUUCGUUUGGGGGCGGGGGACACCACCCCAAAGACAACACCGCCAGUCGUGCCGGCGCCAAGUCGGCCCCAUGGCAAGACCGCCGCAACGGUGCCGGACAUCCCUAUGCCACUGGAUCCAAACAUGCAUAUGGCACAGGAUCAGAAUGACGACGACGACGAUACAUUUGCCAACGUCGAUCAGUACUUUGCCGAUCAUGGCUACGGUGGCGACUUCAUGGGGCCUCCUUCUCAAGCACCCAACCCAACAAAAGACGUGCGCGAUCUAGCUGGUACCGCGGAGAAGCCAAGUUGCAACAGGCGUCGUCUAGCGUUCAGCUCUCAGGAGACGCCUCCAGCUGCCGACUUCACCGAGCCUCAGAUAGGCGAGGAGCAAAAUAUUAUCAGCCCCAACACACUCCAGAAGGCGGUCCAUGAGCAGAACUCGGUCCCAUUACAGGAGAAGAAGAAGGCACGCAAAAGAAAGACUAACAAGGGUGCGGGCCAGCCGGCACCGAGUACGAUCCGUGCUCAGGACGGGCCACCUGCACCUGAGGAUAUCUCGAGGAGGGUGCAUGUGGCGGGUAGGCCGAUGCUACCGAGAAAUAUGCUCGAUGCUGCAACCGGUGCUAUGCGGAGUCUGCAUGACAGUGUUCUUUCUUUGGAGAAGCGGCGUCUCGGAGAGAAGGAUGUGGCAUACCCGGUUUUCGCGGCCAAGGUGCCAGAGGGCAAGGGCUUUGUGGAUAACUCCAUCGGGGGUACGAUCGUCCUGCGGUUUGAUGACAUCCAUGCUAUGUUGAACCUUCAUCCACUGCACUACACCUUCGUUCGGCUAUUUUCGCUGAGUAUGGAGAUGCGGAUCAUUCGCGACAAGACCCCGGACAUCGUGAUAGUCGACCCCUUCUACAUGCGUGCCAAGAUCUUGGGCAGCGCUGGGGACCGGCAAGUCGCGAGUUCUUACCUCGAAGGCGUCAUUCUGGCAAACCAAGAUAAGGAUAACUUCCUCGUGCCUUACUUUCCCGAGUAAGUCCUCCCCUCAACCGCCCCGUAACAUAUGAAUUCUUAGAUUUCGAUCGUUUUUCUUUUAACAUUCCGUGUUUUCUGCAGUGACACACGUUGCACGCUCAUCCUCCUAAGCCCCAAAUAUUCCAUGGCCACAUAUUUCGACCCGGACCGUCAGUCGAACGUAGACUACACAAAUGUCAAGAAGGUUCUUGAUGAUGUUCUCCCCGGCUACGUCAAAUCUGGAGGCACCUUCACCAGGCCUAUUCGUAAGUACGGCAAGCACGUCUUCUCCCACAAUACGACGUUCUGCUGCGUCAAGCAGCCAACUGGCGGUCAGAAGGGUGCCUACUACGCCAUCCAUCACAUGCGGGCGAUCGUACGGGACCAUCAUCAACUUCUGCUACCGAGUAGACUCAAAGAUUGGGCCGCGAGCGUGUCGGCAAUCCAGGACGCGGACAUCAGACAAGAAUUCUUUCGCAUCCAGUCGGAGUUUGUGGAAAUCAUCCAUCAAGAUGUCCUUCGUACCUCGGGGCAGUUCUACCUCAGAAAUCAACCGUCCAACAGUGACAUCGACACAAUCCUACAAAUGCAGGCUGACAACGCCCGUUGUUUCAUGACUCCCACGAUAGACGGCGGCUUCAUCCACGCUCCGGUCCCUUGAGUCGAGUCGAAAACAGUGAUGCUGUGUCUAGUUCUAAAACAUCGAUUGGCUCAUAUGUUGUAAUUAAACUUUAAUGAAAUUGUAGUAUGUCUCUUUGGUUUCGAGAGUCAUUCAACUUAGAUGUAAUCGAUGAUAUUAAUGUUUUGCUUUUCUCUUCCGAUCGUUCUGUUGCAUACUUAUAUGUUGCUUAUGUAUUGUCUGUGAAUUGGUACUAACGUUUCGUUUGGCUACUGCAUAGCGAUGACGUGGUAUGUCGUGUACAAGGGUAAGGUUCCCGGAGUCUACAACGACUGGGAGGAGUGUCGGAGACAGGUUCACCGAUUCAGCGGUAAAAGUUACAAAGGGUACACCACUAGGGCCGAGGCCGAAUGGCGCACCAGUGGUGCGCCAUUAGUAAAAUAUACUAAUGGCGCACCACUAAUGCGCCAUUAAUGGCCAAAUUAGGUGCGCCAUUAGUAGGCCUUUUCCUAGUAGUGCAAACUGCGUGUAGCACCUCCCGGGCGGCCAGUCCUCGUUGGUCUUCUGUGCGCCAGUGCAGGCUCGCCCCACUGAACCGAGCUUCCUCAGCUAGCUCAUUGCCUAGCGCUUUAGAGUUGAAUUUUGGGUCAAAUCCCAACACAAGAGUCAAGGAGGAGAGGGAGGCGAGUCGAGUGAGGAGAGCUGAUACAUCUAGGCAGUGAACGGCAACAUAUCUAAGCAGUGACUAGUGUUGAGAGUGAGAUGAUUAGGCUGGCUCUAAAGCUAUACAUUAAUACACACACAUCAAAUGUCCAUGGACGUGUCCGCAGAUAGCGCUAGGGGAGUCGAUCAACCAACCGUAGUCAUCAAGUCCAGACGACAUGAGUGGGUCAUGCGUGGGCUAGGUGGACCUAAAAGAAAAUCACAUGUGCUGUGAGGACAUGUUGUCAAACUGACAGUGAGAUAAGCGGACUGUUCGACUCCCCCCCACCCAUUUGCUAGCAGAUUUUGGGGAUCCGGACUGGAAGUUUGGUGCAUCCUGUUGGAUGGCUAUAAAUGUCCAAACCUUGAAAGCACGGGAGUGAGUGCGGAGCAGCUCCAGAGCAAGAACUUAUUGAAAUAUACUCCAGCUACGCGCUCUACAGAAGAUGGCCAGCAACCGGUACCAUCCGGACUGCAAGCGAUGCCAGCCACUAGCCACUAGUUACAGUGGCAGUGUAAAGAGGAAAAAAGGAGAGAGAGGGAACGAACGAUUGGAAUGAAUAGUUGUUUCUCAUUGAUUGAAGACAGGGUAUUUAUACCCACUUACAAGGCAGUUAGGAUUACAAUGUCGGUAACUACAACCGACUUAAGCAUUGAUUAUUAGGAUUAAAUUAAUCCUUAACACUCCUCCUAAUCUAUGCUAGUCUAAUACGCAUCAUCUUGAUAAAGACUUCUCCGAAUAUGUGUUUGCCUUGAGAAUGUUCAUCGUCUUCAUUUUGAGAAAGACUCCUCCAAAAAUCCUGUGGGGAAAAAAUGUGAGGAGAAUUGUAUUUGACAUGUUGUUAAAACUCCUUUAAACCCAGUGGGAAAAAUAAGGAGAAAAUGAUGCAACAUAUAAUGAUUAUUGCCUCUUAAUAACCCAUAUGAGAAAAACCUUUGAAGAAGGAUAAAACUCAUUAGUGAGUUUAGAGAACAAUAAAUAUGUCUUGAGUACUUCCUUUAAAAACCCCGAUAGGGAAAAUAGAAAGUAUGACAUAUAAUCUUUGAGAAGAUAUUGCCUCAUUAAAAACCAUUAUGAGAAACUUUGAGAGAAAACUCAUAAGGGAAAAGAGUGCGAUAUGACAUGCCAUUGAAAACUCAUUUAAAACCCAGUGGGGAAAAUAUAAGGAGAAGAUGAUAUGACAUAUAUGGGAACUUGUGUUUAUAUUGUCUCGUUAAAAACCUUUAUGAGAAACCAUUACGGAAAAACUCAUGAAGGGAAAAAAAGUACAAUAUAUGCAAUCUUAGGAUUGUUAAUAGGUUAUAGAUUUGGGAGAUUACUCCCCCUGAACUUUGCAAACCUGGAGAAUGUGUAAUACAAAUUCCAUUGAUAUGGUCAUGGCAUUAUGAAUAAUCUGUAGGACUUUCAAAGUAUGUUGUUUGCAUAUUGUUUCCUCACUUGUCUAUAAUUCGUGAGGAUAAGUAAUUUUUAGCAAUGUAUUUUAUGAUAUUGCUCUUCAUAUAACCUGUAGUUUUUGAGUAACACAAGUGGUAGCAUCUUAACAAAUCAAGUUAUGUGAUUCCGAUGAAUCCCAAGCACAUGCUUUUGAGUGUGGUUAAUCAUUCUGCUGAGCCAUGCAUAUUUGGCAAUGCUUUUAGAUAAAGCAAUUAUGUUAGAGUGAUUAGUGGAAGUAGUCGUUAAAGUCUAUUUAGAUGACUUCCACGAGAAGACUAUUCCAGUGAAUUCAGUCACUGAUAUGGCAUUGUUGGGAUCAAAUAAAGAGCAAAUAUCAUUCAUCAUAUCAUGGUCAUAUCUUGAUUUUCUUGUUGGAAUUGCCCAAGAUUUAUUGUGGGCUUGAGAUAUAAGUUAAUAUUUCUUAUAUCGACCAUGUACCUUUUGUUGGUAUGAUAUAUCCAUAUUGAACUUCUCAUAUAUGUUUUGGAUAUAUGUUGACUGAUAUGUAUUCUUGAGAGAAUGCUCAACUUGUAAACUUAAGCUAAAUUUGGUUUAAUCCAAAUUUUCCGCCUUGAGAUGAUUUUGUGUAUGUUUAGGGAUUGUAUAGACAUUCAUGAUGAGGACAUCAAUAUACACUGAGGUGAUGAAAUAAAAUCAAAUUGAUUCUAUUACUAAACAUGUAAAUAAUCAUCAUUAUUCGAGUAGUCCUUUUGAAGAAGGAACUCAUUUAGUUGGUAGUACCAUAUGAUUCCCGACUAUUUCAAGUCAUGGAGUGACUUAUGAAGUAUUACACAAAACUUGUUGCGAUUUUCUUUUGGAUUCAGAAGUAUAAGCCCUUCAGGGACUUCAAUAGAGAUUUCCGAAAUGAGCGACUCAUAUGAGUAUGUAGCCACUUCAUCCAUCAACUGCAUGUAUAUUAUUAUUAUUAUUGCCAAUGCUAUUUAGUAUCGAAACAUAAUUCCACUCAUACCAAGAGGGUAUGUUACAUCAUAAUCGAUGUCGGGUCUCUGCGUGAACCCUUUUGCUACAAGCCUCGCUUUCUCACCACCUCAUCGACUUUGUCUAUGAAUGAGAAGUUUUUUAGUAUUCCAUACAAAAUAUGGUUAUGAGGAGUAGGUAUUACUGCGGUAAAUACCACUCGUUUUAUGAGCGAGAGCUAUUCUUCGUUACUUGCUUCCUUUUAUGUGAACCAAUAUGAAUGCAAGAGGCAAACUACCAUGGAUUUUGGUUCAGGUCCCACAAAGUUUUAGCAAUUUUGAGAAGAAAUAUAUGUCGACAAAUGUAGUCUUUAGUUUAUAUGAUUCUGAUGGAAUCAUUGAAGUUUGUGGAAAUAUAUUUAUUCCAUUUUAACUCCUUGUGAUUUCCUACAACAAAUGGAGUCAAGGUGUUUCGAUGUCCCGGCACCAAAAUAUUUGUGCACAUUUAUGGCGGGCUUUGGAUUAUGAGCAUCCAAUGAGGUGUCUUUCGACUUGAUGUUGAAUUACAUUUACUGGUUGAGGAUUUGAUUUCCUCUAUUUCCGCGGAAGCAUAUGAGAAGUUAUAUCUCGUCUUGUCAUAUUUUCUCCCCCUCUUGCUCUCAUUUGGGGAUAAGAGUGGUUUAUCAGGUACCUCCACUCUUUCUGACACUUUACUGCAGGAAUAUAGAAUUUAGUGACACCUUGUCAUCAGUAAAUGUAUGUGGCAAAUUUGCAAUGUGUUGCAAAUAUAUGAUUCUCUAAACUUCUAGUUCAUAUUCUUUGAGUACGUGGAUAUAAGGAUUGAAUGUCAAUAACAUUUCUAAUUUAUUUCUCGGCAUUCUUUGUGGUACUUAUCUCCCCCUAAUGCCGAAAAAAUAUCCUUAUUGCUGAUGCAAUCAGCAUACGGGCUAUGAAUAAUUUUGAUUGACGGAUAAAUUGUUAUUCCUCACAUUGACCCCUAAUUUUCGCGAGUGCCCAUUGAUGUACGCUGGAGUGGUGAUAUCAGUAUGCAGAUGGGAAAUACUUUGUUGAUUUCCAUGUAGUAACUACAAGGGGAAAGUAGUAUAUAUGUAGUUGGUAUGAUUUAGAUCAUACUUACGGUGUGUAAGGCCGUAUGUGUCCAGCAAGAGGUUGGUAAAAUUACAAUUCUUUAAAAUUGGUCAUGUAAUUAAUUUCACUAUCUUUGAUAAGAAAUUUAGUUAAACCAUUCUGGGUAUGUACAUAGAGUACAACAUAUAAUCGGACAUUGCUUGUGAAAUGAUUUCAAUCACAUUGUCCAUUUGAAUGGGUUUAUAGAUCCUGUUUUCAGGAGAAUUUGCUCCUACUUUGAUAAGUUAAGCAAUUUAUUGGGUAAGAUCAUGGUUGUGUGUGAUAAGACACACUUAAAAACAUUUUAUGAGUGUGUAUAUGAGUACCAUGAAGUGUCUAAAUUAACCCAGAUAAUGGUUCAACAUUCCACAUAUAUCUUUUGAAUGUGUUCAAGAAAGAAUAAGUGGCUCAUUUAGAAUUUUAAGGUAAGAGUUCCUUAAAACAGAUUUCCCCUAUGGCACAUGUGGUGCACAUAUAAUCUGAUGAUCUGGGGAACAUUUUUGCAACUUGUUAAGUUGUGACCAACCGAAUUGUCAAGAAUUUUCUAAUCAUCCCCAAACCAGGAUGGCUAAGGCUAUCAAGCCUAAUAUUUAAUUAAUUAAUACUUAGAAAAUCAUUGUGUACGCAACAAUAUUGAGUAUGAAUUGAAACAUACAUUCAAAUUUAUUGAAUAUUGUAUCCAAUGGAUAUGAUAUUGGACACUUUACUACAUGUAGUAGUACUAGUAUGGGCUAAUAAUAUAUUGGGAUAAUUAGGAGAUUACCUGAGGUCUCUGAUAUUUUUGAGUGCAAAUGUUUUCAUCCUCCAUUUUCUGCACUAGAUUUUGUUCCUCCUUCUGAUGAAGAUUCUGAGAGACAUCCUUUACCAUAAUUUGGUUGUUAUUUGCAAAUUUAUCCCAUUGAACUUAUUGGCCUUUUAAUAAAUUUGUGGUGUGGUUUGACCAUAUGUUUAAGGAUUUGGUAAUCAUAGGUACGAUGUUUGUAUAACCACACAUUUGACAAACUGGAGAUUUGUCUUUGUGAUCAUUUGAAAAUGAUUUAUUCCUUAUUAAGAGGUAAUUCUGGCUUCUGUUGUCUUUUAGCCUCCACUUUAAUUUUGAAUUUCACAUGGUUCUAUUUUGCGACUAUGAAGUUGCACAAAAUACUAAGUACUAGCAAGAAUUUCAAAUAAUGGAACAGAACCCGUUGGGUGAAUCUGAUGAUUUGAAGAAAUUCCAUGUUUCUUCGUCAUGGAAAAUGGUAAUACCAUCAUAUGAGCAUGUAAAGGGUAUUAAGGGCUUUUUCAACCAGAUUUACAUAUGAAAAUAUUUGAUCAUGGAUCUCAACUUGAAGUUGAUUAAGUGACAGAAUUACGAGAUGUGAUAGACUUGAGGUCUUGAAAAACGAAUGGGUAAUCAUUCACGAUGUGCUCAAGGCAUCAUGUUUAUAUUAAGGAAAAUAUUCAGGGUGAAUCUAAAUUCAUCCAUUAUGUAUUUAGUUUGAGAACUAAGUGAAGUUGGGACACAUAAAAUGCAUAUGAGCAUUGGAACUUUAGAGUCACCGCCAAAAACAUAGACGUUGCUUGUUUGACAUUGGCUAGUCACUGUGAAAGUAUAACCACAAUGUGAUGUGGACAUUGCAAAAAUGUUGAUACACUCAAUUGUUGCCAUAAUUAUGGGAUCCAUCUUGAUGGAUGAACAACACUAAAAUUUUAAAUAGUGACAUAGGCUUCACUGCCAUGUAUUUUACCAAUGUAAUAGAAGUCAAUCACGAUUAUAUGAAAAUAAUUAUGUAGUUUUCUAUGACAUAUUCAAGCAAAAUGAUGCUUGAAUAGUUGAUAUUAGCACACAAUACCGUUUUGGUAUAUAGCGAGUGUGCAAGAAUUAUAUUUACUAUGAGAGUAAAAAAUAUUUUAGUGAACAACAACAAAUGCUUCAGAGGAGCAAAUUUUAUAAAUAUCUGGUGCUUUAUAACCAUAUGUGUAGACCUCAAAUUAUAUAGGAUAACACUUUGAAGAUAAUCACCAAUGGUGUAGAUCUCGCAGUAAUAGAAAAACAUAUUCUGACUUUUGUCUGUAGAUGCUCAUAAUUCUAUUACCUUAUGUUAUGCUGAAUUUAUGAAAUCACUUUGAAGGUAAUCAUCUGUCAAAGUGACAUGAUGUAGACCUUCCAGUAAUAGUGGAUAGUCUGCAAAAUUUUGCAGUAGAUGCCAGUAUUACCUUAUGAUAUCUUGAGGUAGUCACAUCAAAUAUUAAUAUUUGGAAGAGUACUACGAAGGUAGUCAUCUUGUUAAAAAGACAAGAUGUAGACCUCACAGUAGUGGUGGAUAAUCUGCAAAUGGCACAGUAGAUGCCACCAGUACCUUGUGAUUCACAAAUAAAAUUUUGGGUAAUCACAUUAAUAAUUGGAAGAGCACGUUGAAGGUAGUCAUCUUAUCAAAAUGAUAAGAUGUAGACCUCACAGUAAUGAUGGAUAAUCUGCAAAUUAUGCAGUAGAUGCCAUCAAAUACCUUGUGAUUCACAAAUGCGAUUUGAGGUAGUCAUAUUAAGUAUGACACUUCAAUUUAAUGUCGAGAUUUGCACGAAAAUUAUUUUCACAUGCAAAGAUAUACUGGUAGAAAAAGGGCCUGUUGUCCCGGUUCGUAAGGGCCUUUUGUCCCGGUUCUGGAACUGGGACUAAAGGGUCGGUACUAAUGCCCUGUCCCUUUAGUCCCGGUUCAAUCCAGAACCGGGACAGAUGGGCCUCCACGUGGCCUGUGCGCGGAGCCCAGGCAGGAGACCCUUUGGUCCCGGUUGGUGGCACCAACCGGGACCAAUAGGCAUCCACGCGUCAGCAUUUCUGUGGCUGGGGUUUUUGGUUUUUUUUGAAGGGGGGGGGGUGGGGGUUUUGGGGGGUUAAUUUAGGUGUUUCAUAUAUUGUGUUAGCUAGCUAUAAUUAAUAGAGAGAAGUGUCCUCUCUUAUGUCCGUGCUUGGUCGACGCUACGUACUAUACAUACGUAUAGAGAGAACUAGACACGCUAGCUAGCUAGUAAGCAAACGAAGGAAACAGAAGAUCGUCAUGAACAUAUAUGCAUACAGAGAGAAGUGAUAUCGACCACCUCUCCUUCUCCGAGAGAUUGGUCAAAAAACAAUUUCUCGUAUAUCUAUCCGACACUACCGGCUACAUAUAUACAAUAAUUAUCUCUUACAAAUAUAAUCAUACAGACUCAGGGUCCACAUAGUAUUCUCCGUCUUCAGCGAUCACGUGGUCAAGAAAGAAUGCCGCCAAUUCCUCUUGAAUUGCUCGCAUGCGAGCUGGUGCUAGGAGUUCAUCCCGCUUCCGAAACAUCUAAUUUAAAGAAGGGGGUCAAUACAUAUAUAUAUGAAUGAAUGAAACUCAACACAAAUGAUGGUAAUAAAAUAAAAUUGUGAAUGUUGUUAUUUAUGUACUUCAUAUUGUUCGUCUGUGUAGCCCCGCUCACACGUCGUGUGGCGGAUGGACUCGCAAACGCAGUAUCCACAAAAAUCAUUCCCUUGUUCCUGCCACAACCACUUUACAAGAAAUAGGUGUCAAUCAAACUGAUAAGCAAGAAUGCCAAAUGGUAUUGAUGAAACUAGCGCUUGAAUCACUAGUAGAUGCGCGGAACAUGCUACUAUAGUACUUACUUUCGGGUGUCUAAAUUGCAGCUCCUUCGGCAGUCCCGGAGCUUUUCUGGUGAAUUUUCUCCAAACCCUGCCGGACAAAGAAAACAAUUACUUGAUAUAUCAGGAAAUGAACAAAGUUGCUGAUAUGGUGGAUAAUGAUUGAUUUAACUUACUUCUCGAGUAUUUGAGUCAUGUCUGCAUAGUCCUGGGGAUCUUUUCGUCUUGAGUCUAAGACGGUUACUAGUCCCUGCUCAAGCUUAAUCUCUAGGAGAAUAUAGUGGAAACUGCACACGCAUGCAUAACUCAUCAAUUACAUUACUAUAGCCUUGACUAAUAUAUAAGGGAAACCGAAUACGCACAAGACAGUAACACUCACUUGAAGUUGUAAGGAAAGAGUAUUAUAUCUUUGUUUUCAUUUAUUACCAACGAUCAUAGCAAAUUGGCCUCGGUAGCUGCGGCAUGAAAUUUAACCUGAGUUGCAUCUAUGAGAUAUGUGUUAAUGAACCCAAUAUCACCGACUUGUCUUUUCUUCAAUUCGGCGAUCUUCAAUCUGCAUAAUAUAGUGAGGAUGAUUAUAAAUACAUGCAAUGAAAGAGCUGAGCUAUAUAGAGAGACUUAAUGACAGAAGUAGUACUACUUACAGACAGUAGCAGGCAACCGUUGUUUUAUCGAGGGCCAAUUGAUUGAAAAACUGAAAGAACUCCUCAAAUGGAACAGGCAACAGUUCAAUUCCAAUGAGGUCAUGCUCCUUUUUAACUUUCACAUACAAAGUACUCCUCCCCCCAGAGUCUCUGCAGAUUUUCAAGUACCAAUCAUGCAAUCUUCGCAUCAUCGUUGAUAGAGAUCUUUCAUCUUUGACGAGAGGCUUCCCGUACUCGUAUCUUUGUAUCUGCACCUCCAUGGGUUCAUAAUGUACAUUGUCGGGCAGGUAAUCGGCAAGAUUGCUAUAACCGGGCACCAUCCUCGGAUCAUUAGCGACGUUGUCGCUAGGCACCUGGAGCGGGGGGCACGAUUGCUUCGCUUGUUCGCCGAGUUGGGCAAUUUGUUUCCUAGCUCAUCGUUCUUUCAGCCUUUGAUCACUGACAGUACUUCCCGACCGCUCCGCUUCGGCAAAUUCCUUUCCAAUAAUGCACUCAUAGUUCCUUUCGGCGGAGACUUGGGUGGUUUUGUCAGGGCAGCCAGAGUGCGCUUCGCUUUCACCGGAUCUACCUUCUCCUCCGGAAGUGGAUGUCUCUUUGCUUUCAACCCUUGAAACCAAUCAUCCACUUCAGUUCGUGCGAUCUCGGCGUUCUCCUCUGGGGUCCUCUCGUAUGGUAACUUCUCUGGAGUCUUCAGAGAAGGACCAAAUCUGUAUGUCCUACCGCCUCUGGCUGUACUGCUAGACGCCGGCCGAGCAGACGGAGUGGUUGUCUUCUUUACUUGCUUACGAGGCGGAGGAGAAGGACUACGACGCACCGGAGCAGCUGGAGCGGCGGCAGGUCUCUUCCACCCUUGCUGACGAGGCGGAGAAGGAGGAGGCUGGCUGCUCGGGCGCAUCGGCGCAGGCAAAGAAGGAGGCGGAGUGCCGCCACGCGCUGGAGAAGGAGCCGGUCGAGUGCCAUGAUCGUCAGUCGCCGGAGGAGGAGGUGGUGGAGGAGGCGGAGUGCCCUGACUCGUCGGAGGAGGAGGCGGUGGAGGAGGCGGAGUGCCCUGACUUGCCGGAGGAGGAGGAGGAGGCGGAGGCGUCCAGUUCGGAAGGUUGAUGAGCUCCUUCCGCCAUAGGCAUGGAGUCUUCAGAGCAGACCCCAGCCUAGUCUCCCCUUCACCGGUAGGGUGGUCAAGCUGGAGGUCCUCAAAUCCCUCAGUUAUUUCAUCCACCAUCACCCUAGCAUAUCCUUCUGGAAUCGGCCGGCAGUGAAAAGUUGCGCCGGGUUCAGUAGGAUAAACAGAGCCAAUAGCCGCCUUGACCUUCAAAUUCAUCCAUUGCGUCAUAAGGUGGCAAUUUUGAGACUCCGUGAUAGCAUCCACGGGAUAGCUGGUAGGAGCCGUCAAGGCAUGCUCCGGCUGAAGUAGCUCGGUGGAAGCCACGCUGUUUCUCCGCUGAGAUGGCGGGGUAGCUUCGGGGGAAGCUUCGGUAGUACGUUUGCUGCGAUUUGCUUCUCGUUCCUCUAUCGCUUGUACCCUUGCUUGCAGCGCCUGCAUUUGGGUCUGCUUCACUUUUUUUCUCCUCUCAUGGGAUUUGUAACCGCCUGCGUCCGGAAACCCAACCUUCCAUGGAAUGGAGCCUGGCGUGCCUCGUGUCCGUCCAGGGUGCUCAGGAUUCCCGAGGGCCAUUGUGAGCUCGUCGUUCUCUCUGUCUGGAAAGAACGUCCCUUGCUGCGCUGCUUCGAUAUAGUGCUAAAGCUUCCUGACUGGUAUGUCCAUUUGAUCGUUCGUCCAAAUGCACUUCCCUGUUACAGGGUCCAAGGUUCUGCCAGCCCCGAAGAACCAAGUCCGGCAACGGUCUGGCCAGUUAAUUGUCUCUGGUUCGAUCCCUUUAUCAACCAGAUCAUUCUCAGUCUUGGCCCACUUAGGCCCGGCUACGAGGUAGCCACCUGACCCCGUGCGAUGGUGAUUCUUCUUCUUCGCAGCAUUUUUCUUGUUUGUUGCUGACAUCUUCUUACUCUUUUCCAAUGUCUUGUGGGCCAUAAAUGCGGGCUAGUGAUCUCUGAUCUUCUCAUAUCCGCCCUUGAAUUCUGGUGUCUCAUUAUUUUCGACAAACUUAUUCAGCUCUUUCUUUCACCUCCUGAAUAGUUCUGCCAUCCUCUUAAGAGCAAAAGACUUGAUUAAUUGCUCUUUAACUGGCUUCUCUAGAUUAUCCUCUGGCGGUAGGGUGAAAUUUGACUUCAGCUCAGUCCAAAGAUCCUUUUUCUGCAUAUCAUUGACAUAAGACACCUCAGGGUCUUCUGUAGCCGGCUUAAACCAUUGCUGGAUGCUGAUCGGGAUCUUGUCCCUAACCAAAACCCCGCAUUGAGCAACAAAUGCGCUCUUUGUCCAGAGGGGUUCAAUCGGUUGGCCGUCGGGCGCGAUUGCUAUGAUCUCAAACUUUUCAUCUGAGCUCAACUUUUUCUUCGGGCCUCGUCUCUUUACCGAAGUUGUGCUCGAUCCGGGGGCUAGAAAAAAGAACAAAGACUUAAUUAAUAUGUGUACAUACCAAAACAAUGAAUGCAUCAAUUAGCUAGUCAGCAGAAGCUUAACUAAUAUAUAUACCUGGCCGGACUCGGUUCGGUCACCGGAGACGUCAUCACGGUCUCCUUCUUGCACCGGCAUUGGGUCACCGGAGCCGUGCUCACGGUCUCCUUCUUCCACCGGCAUUAGGUCACUAGAGCCAUCAUAAUCAUAGCUAGCUGCUUCCAGGCCAUCGGUGUCAUUGAGAAACAACAACGAGCAGAUGGCAUCACUUCCUCGUGCGAUUAUGUCCCCCAACAACUCUUCUUGUACUUCAUCUCGGGCGGUGUCCAUAGUUUCUACAAAUAUUGACAACAUGGCAAUUAUUAUUGAAACAUGACAGAUGGAUAUAUUAGUGGCAAAAACGUAGAACUAAUAUUAAUUAGUGGCCUCGAUGCUGCUUCUCUAGGGUUUGGGGUGGCCUCGACGCUGCUUCUCUAGGGUUUGGGGUGGACUCGACAAUGCUUCAAGGAUAAAAAAAGAAGAGGAAGAAGAAGAAAAAAAGAGGAGAAGAAAGAAUAGAGGAGUUCUUACUCCUCUAUUCUUUCUUCUCCUCUUUUUUUUCUUCUUCCUCUUUUUUUUAUCGGGAACGAGGGUCGUCGAGGGUCACCGAGCGAUAGAGGAAACCCUAAAUAGCAAGUAUCGUGGGUGUGAGAUACAUGUGGCCGUCGGUGUUAGACACUACAUCCACGUCCCACAAGUGACAUAGGCGUCGAAGCCCGCGCCACUUGUGGGACGUGGAUGUAGUGUCCGACACCGACGGCCACAUGUAUCUCACACCGACGAUACUUUCUAUUUAGGGUUUCCUCUACCGUUCGGCCACCCUGACCCUCGACGACCCUCGUUUCCGAUAAAAUAAAGAGGAAGAAGAAAAAAAAGAAAAGAAGAGAAGAAGAAAAAAAAGACGAGAAGAAAGAAUAGAGGAGAAGAACUCCUCUAUUCUUUCUUCUCCUCUUUUUUUCUUCUUCCUCUUCUUUUUUAUCCUCUUCUUCCUCUCAUGUUCGAGAGGAUCACCGAGGGGUCGGGAGGUUGCCUAGUGUCAAAGGAUUCAACAAAACCAUAUCUUCAUCAUUAGGCGAAAGUAACAGGUGCAUGAUGGUACGAAGCUCUCCAAAGUUAUUUUGGAACGGAGUCCCAGAUAAGAUAAUUCGCUUUUUGGUACAAAGUUCAACAAGAACCUUCCAAAUAUCGUUAUUUGGAAGGCCUUUCCUGAAAUUCAUACAAAAAGGCAAAUUAUCCUAUCCGGGACACCAUUCCAAAAUAACUUUGGAGGACUUCGUCAUGCCCUGGUUACUUCCGGCUAAUGAUGAAACCAUGGAUUUCUUCAAUACUUUGACACUGGGAAACCUCUUUCGACCCCUCGGCGAUCCUUGACCCCUCGAACCCUCGACAACCCUGGAACCCUCGACCCCUAGACGACCCUGGAACCCUCGACCCUCGAUCCCUCGACCCUAUAGAACCCUCGAAGAAAGGAAUGGCUAGAGGAGAAGAUCGAAGAAAAAAAAGGAGAAAAAAAGAGGAGAAGAAGAAAGGAAUAAUGGAGAAGAAGACCGUGGAACCCUCGACCCCUAGACGACCCCUCGAACCCUCGAUCCUCGUCUCAUCUUCUUCUCCUCUUCUUUUUCUUCUUUUUUCUUCUUCUUAUUUAUAUUGUCCUUUUCUUCCUCUCCUCUUGUUCUUUCUUUCCUCUUCUUAUUUUCUUCUUUCCUAUACUUCUUUUCCUUCCUUUCUUAAUAUCACUUAGCAAAUGCACUAACCUAAAAUGCAACAAACAUAAAAUGCACUAAAUCGAUCAACUAACCUAAAAUCAGUGAUAAAAUGCACUAACCUAAAAUCGAUAUCUACUAACAACUUAAAAAAAUUAAUACAUAUAUGAAAAAAAACAUCAUCAUAUCAUCAAUAGAAAAAAUAGUAUUUUUUUCUAAAAAUCUAUCUUUUCAGCACAUACAUAUACUCAUACAUCAUCAUAUACUCAUACAUAUACUCAUACAUAUACAUAUAAUCUGUAGGAAAAAAAACAUAUAUGUGUUUGCAAAAAAAGGAGGGAAGAGGGGGGCGGUGCCGACCCAGACCACAGCGAGGCAGAGGCGACGGUGGCGCGGGGCAGCUGGGGCGCGGCGAGGUAGAGGCGACGGCGAGGCAGAGGCGGGGCGGCGACGGCGUCANNNNNNNNNNNNNNNNNNNNNNNNNNNNNNNNNNNNNNNNNNNNNNNNNNNNNNNNNNNNNNNNNNNNNNNNNNNNNNNNNNNNNNNNNNNNNNNNNNNNNNNNNNNNNNNNNNNNNNNNNNNNNNNNNNNNNNNNNNNNNNNNNNNNNNNNNNNNNNNNNNNNNNNNNNNNNNNNNNNNNNNNNNNNNNNNNNNNNNNNNNNNNNNNNNNNNNNNNNNNNNNNNNNNNNNNNNNNNNNNNNNNNNNNNNNNNNNNNNNNNNNNNNNNNNNNNNNNNNNNNNNNNNNNNNNNNNNNNNNNNNNNNNNNNNNNNNNNNNNNNNNNNNNNNNNNNNNNNNNNNNNNNNNNNNNNNNNNNNNNNNNNNNNNNNNNNNNNNNNNNNNNNNNNNNNNNNNNNNNNNNNNNNNNNNNNNNNNNNNNNNNNNNNNNNNNNNNNNNNNNNNNNNNNNNNNNNNNNNNNNNNNNNNNNNNNNNNNNNNNNNNNNNNNNNNNNNNNNNNNNNNNNNNNNNNNNNNNNNNNNNNNNNNNNNNNNNNNNNNNNNNNNNNNNNNNNNNNNNNNNNNNNNNNNNNNNNNNNNNNNNNNNNNNNNNNNNNNNNNNNNNNNNNNNNNNNNNNNNNNNNNNNNNNNNNNNNNNNNNNNNNNNNNNNNNNNNNNNNNNNNNNNNNNNNNNNNNNNNNNNNNNNNNNNNNNNNNNNNNNNNNNNNNNNNNNNNNNNNNNNNNNNNNNNNNNNNNNNNNNNNNNNNNNNNNNNNNNNNNNNNNNNNNNNNNNNNNNNNNNNNNNNNNNNNNNNNNNNNNNNNNNNNNNNNNNNNNNNNNUUAUUGUUGCUAUUUUCAUUUUUCCCAGUUUUUUGUAUUAUUUAUUUUCUUUUGUUUUUUGCUUUAUUUUUUAAUUCUUUUUGCUUUUAGGUCAGCAAAAUUAUAAACUUUAUGUUGCUUUAUUUAUUUUAUUUUGUUUCUACUUACAACAAAAUACUUAUUGUUGCUAUUUUUUUUCCAGUUUUUUUGUUUUGUUUUCUGCAUUAUUUAUUUUCUUUUGUUUUUUGCUUUAAUUUUUAAUUCUGUUUGCUUUUAGGUUAGCAAAAUUAUAAACUUUCUGUUAGUGCCAUUAGUUUUAGAAAAAUUAUAAAUUUUCUGUUAGUGCCAUUAGUUUUCAAAUUUGAAUAGUUAAAAUUUGAAGUUUUUGAAAAUUGUUUGAAUCACAAGUUUGUGAUUAACUUACUAAAAAUGAGAAUAGAUGCGCUUAUAGAGAAAAUUCAACCUAAAUUCCUAGUAUAUUUUUAUGAAUUUCAGAGAAAUUCACUAUGAAUUUAGGUUAAACUUUUCUCUAUUAGGGCAUCUAUUUUCACUUUGAGAGGAGCUCAACAAGGCAGAGAGGGAAGGGCUUAUAAACCGGUGUGAGCACCCUUCGGUUGGCGAGGUGGGACUAAACUCUGCCCGCAACGAGGACCAACCCUUUAGUCCCGGUUUGUGGCACAAACCGGGACUAAUGGUCAUGGGCCAGGGGCGAGGAGCAAAAUUAUAAACUUUCUGUUAGUGUCAUUAGUUUUAGAAAGUUGAAAGUUGAAAGUUGGCAUGGGCCAGGGACUAAUGGUCAUGGUAUUACGAGGGCCGAACCAUAAGACAUGAAAGCAUUUCAAAUGAACUCUGAAAAAGUUGAAAGUUGGCAUGGUAUCAUAAUUUCACCCACAUAGCAUGUGCAUGUACAAAACGGACAAUGGUAGCAUGUUCGUGUGUUACAAAGUUGGCAUGGUAUCAUCAUAAUAGUUGCGGGAGAAAGUCUUCACUUUUUCUUCGCUUGUGUCAUUUGCUUAUUGCGCCGUAACCAUGGAUAAUCUUCAUUGUUUAUCAGGAUGCUUGGGUCAGCCUUGACAUUGAAGGGAGGAAUUUCAUGAAACUUUUCAUAAUCUUCAGACAUGUCUGUCUUGCCGUCCACUCCCAGGAUGUCCCUUUUUCCUGAAAGAACUAUGUGGCGCUUUGGCUCAUCGUAUGAUGUAUUCGCUUCUUUAUCUUUUUUUUCUCGGUUUGGUAGACAUGUCCUUCACAUAGAUAACCUGUGCCACAUCAUUGGCCAGGACGAACGGUUCGUCAGUGUACCCAAGAUUUUUCAGAUCCACUAUUGUCAUUCCGUACUGUGGGUCUACCUGUUCCCCGCCGCCUAACAGAUUGACCCAUUUGCACUUAAACAAAGGGACCUUAAAAUCAGGUCCGUAGUCAAGUUCCCAUAUGUCCACUAUGUAACCAUAAUAUGUGUCCUUUCCGCUCUCGGUUGCUGCAUCAAAGCGGACACCGCUGUUUUGGUUGGUGCUCUUUUGAUCUUGGGCGAUUGUGUAAAAUGUAUUCCCAUUUAUCUCGUAUCCUUUGUAAGUCAAUAUAGUCAAAGAUGGUCCCCUGGCCAACAAGUACAACUCAUCACAAACAGUGUUGUCACCUCUGAGACGUGUUUCCAACCAACUGCUGAAAGUCCUGAUGUGUUCACAUGUAAUUCAGUCGUCGCACUGCUCCGGGUGUUUGGAGCGCAGACUGUUCUUGUGUUCAUCGAUAUAUGGGGUCACCAAGGUAGAGUUCUGUAGAACUGUGUAGUUUGCUUGAGACCAAGAAUAUCCGUCCCUGCAUAUUAUUGAGUCUCUUCCAAGAGUGCCUUUUCCAGUCAGUCUCCCCUCAUACCGCGAUUUAGGGAGACCUAUCUUCUUAAGGCCAGGAAUGAAGUCAACACAAAACCCGAUAACAUCCUUUGUUUGAUGGCCCAUGGAGAUGCUUCCUUCUGGCCUAGCGCGGUGACGGACAUAUUUCUUUAGGACUCCCAUGAACCUCUCAAAGGGGAACAUAUUGUGUAGAAAUACGGGCCCCAGGAUGACAAUCUCGUCGACUAGAUGAACUAGGACAUGCGUCAUGAUAUUGAAGAAGGAUGGUGGGAACACCAGCUCGAAACUGACUAGGCAUGAAUGGCGGACGGCAAAGAGCUUUGCCAUCAGCCGCGGACGGCAAAAGGCUCCGGCAACGUAGGCUCCGGUAAAUAGUUUCUUUGUCGUCUGCUACUGAUGGCAAAGUCUUUGCUGUCUGCGGCGGACGGCAAAGAGAGCGCGGCGGACGGAAAAGAGAGCGGACGGCAAUAAUUGCGCUGUCAGUCCGUUAAGUGGCUAACGGCAGGCCUUUGCCGUCCGCCGCUGACGGCAAAAUUUCUAGUGUCUUUGCCGUUAGCGUAUGAUGUCAUCUACACGUCACUAUAUGCUAGGUUCUUUGCCGUCUGCCACUGAUGGCAAAGUCUUUGCCGUCUGCCACUGUAGGAAAACUGACCAAAUGGGUCAGCUCCCAGGAAGCACAGCUGGAUGCCACGUGGCUUCUUUGCCGUCCGCGGCAGACGGCAAAGAGCAGGUUGCCGUCGGUGGAAGACGGCAAAGAGCCUGCAUAUUGGCUCUUUUAUCUAUUUUUUAUUAAAUCCAACAAUUUUCAUCACAAAUAUAUAUGACAUAUAUAGAUAUAUUUCAAAAGGCCAUUACAGAGCAAACAUAUAAGAUAUCCAACACAUAACUUCAUCAUCCAACCAUAUAUAUUACAUGCAUAGUUCCAUCAUACAUAACAAGUUCAACAUAGAGGCAUCCAACGAUACAUGCAUAGUUCAACGAUACAAAAGAAAUAGAGAAAGGGAUAAGGAGCACUCCAUUUAUGCAAGCUUUCGUCAAGUGAAUGAAAUCUGCAAAAUGAAAAAUAGGAAAGUUAGAACAAGAAGAGUAGAACAAGAAGAAGAGUAGAACAAGAAGAAGACUAGAACAAGAAGAGUAGAACAAGAAGAAGACUAGAACAAGAAGAGUAUGUCAUUUAUGAGCUAACUUACGUGAAAUGGAUCAUAUAUAAGCUAACUAAGUUGAAAUGGGUCGUUUAUGAGCUAGCUAAGGUGAAAUGGAUCAUUUAUGAGCUAACUUAGUUGAAAUGGGUCGUUUAUGAGCUAACUAAGGUCAAAUGGAUCGUUUUUGAGGUAACUAAGGUGAAAUGGAUCAUUUUUUAGCUAACUUAGGUGAAGUGGAUCAUUUAUGAGCUAACUUAGUUGAAAUGGAUCGUUUUUUAGCUAACUUAGGUGAAAUGGAUCAUUUAUGAGCUAAUUUAGUUGAAAUGGAUCUUUUUGAUCUAACUUAGGUGAAAUGGAUCAUUUAAGAGCUAAUUUAGAUGAAAUGGAUCGUUUUUUAGCUAACUUGGUGAAAUGGAUCGUUUAUGAGCUAAAUUAGUUGAAAUGGAUCGUUUAUGAGAUAACCUAGGUAAGGUGGGUCAUUUUGGAGUUAACCUAGGUGAAAUGGGUCAUUUUAAAGCUAACGUAGGUAAAAUGGAUCAUUUAGGAGCUAAUCUAGGUAAAAUGGGUCAUUUUUGACCUAACUUGGAUGAACUGGAUCAUUUAUAAGCUAACCUAGGUAAAAUGGGUCAUUUUAGAGCUAACUUAGGUAAAAUGGAUCGUCUAUGAGCUAACUAAGCUAAUUAUGCAAUUUUUGACAUAAGUAAGCUAAGUACCGAUCGUUUUAGAGCUAACUUAGGUAAAAUAGAUGGUUUUGGAGGUCAAUAAGCUUAUUAAGUCAUUUUGGAGGUGAAGAAGCUAAGUCUAGGUCAUUAUGGUAAGCAUUGGAGGAAAUAAAGCUAAGUCUAGGUCUUUAUGCAUGUGUUAAGCAAAACACUAGAUAAACUUACCAAGAUCCAGGAGGUGUAGGAGCGGGGUGGCUCGUGUCGGUAGCUGGAGAAGGAUCGUGCGAUGCUUGUUUGGAGUUACGCUGCACCAAAGAUCAUUUCCAAUGUCUUGUUAGCAUGAUGACACUCAAAUGUUAAGACUAGCAAGUAAUGUCCAUUCAAAUAAAACUCACCGUGGUCCCAGGAGCAAUCACUGGCAUCGGUGGAGCGGUCUGACCUGUCUUCUCGCACACAGACUGCACAUUUGGUUUUCACGACUCAGUCAUACUAGUUAGUAAUGAGACAAACACUACAUGAAUGUUUUGGCUAAUCUGCAGAAGAAACUUACCACAAGGAGCUCGUACAUGGCCCUUGCCUGCAUGUCAUUCCGUGCCCUCUCCUUCUCCAUCAUCUUUGCCGUCCUCUCCUCCAACUCCCGCUGCCUCUCCGCCGCCUCCGCCAGAAGUUUCUCCGUUCUAUCUCUCUCACUCUAUAUAGCAGCCUGCAACACCACUCACAUGACCAUUUGUAAUCAUUGAUGGAAGCGCACACAAUGUAAUGAAGAAAGAUAACUGAGUACGUAUCACUAACCUUGAUGGCGAGUUGCACUGGCCGUUCACGAGGCCUUAUCUCAGGAGCAGAGCUCGACUGGCGCGCCUUGAUCUCCGGGAGAGUGCUAGGACAACGGAUAAGUCCAUCUCCAAUGGCUAUGGAGCCAUGGGACCUCCCGCCACCAGAUAUCAUCAACAGCUCUGGAUCAAUGGGACCCUGGCUCGGGUUAAAGUCCUCCCCUUUCCUCGCCUUCCCCUCAUCUCUAUAUCUCACGAGCUUGUUGUGGGAGGAGAUGUUGGUGAAGUUGUUUGCAUCAUCGAGGUCAGACUGAGAGAAAGCCUUGACUUUCUUGAAAGAGGCAGUGUGGGCCAUGGCAUACAGGUCGUACACCUCUGGCACCUUAUCCGCCUUAUUGUAGCAUGCCUGAAAGAGAGAAACAAUGAAAAUUAGUAAUUAAAGGGCUCAAGCUAGCAUCAUGAAUGAAUUGCAUGAAUCAUGAAGCAAACCACAUAUCCAGUUGCGCCCGAACUGAUAUAAGUUGGAGCUGCCUUGAUGGUGUGGCAUACCUUCCAUUUGGCCACGUUUGUCCUUAGCCUCUUUGUGGAGGGCUAGCCAUUGUUUUGAGCACCACUGAUCGACCAACACCUCCCAACAAUCCAUCCGAUCCGCACACCAUCUCGAAGGCGCCUAAGUUAGCAAAUAGAAACUUGAGCGCGACGGCUAAGAAUUACUAAAUGAAGGAACUUAAGUAGAGAAGGCCUUAAGAAUUACCUUCAUGUACUGCUCCUUACUCAGGAACUUAUCGCGACACGCCGGCUUGGUCUUCUUUAUACCACGCAAGGCCUGACCCGGCCUGGACCAUAACCCUGUUUUCUACUAGUGAUGGUUGUUGCACUAAAUUAAACAUGUUAUAUGGAUUGCUUGAAAAGCAAACAUAUUGAACUCUAUAUUAAUUAGUUCUGAGGAUCUAAACAAAAAGUGUGUGGACUAUUUUGUAGUUGUUUCAGCCUAAAAAAUCAUUUCAGAAAUCCAGGUUAUCAGAUGUAAAGUACAGUUUGUGUUGAACAUGUACUGUAGGUAUUAAUGUACAAAUAUUAGAAAGGAGGAGGGAUGAAUAGAAAAUCCGCCAAAGGGAUAGGCUUGCGUCCACUCUUUUUCAUGUGCGGUUCCACGAUGGGGAAUUUUCUAAUCUCCGUCGUUAUCCAGUUUGGCUCUGUCUUUACAAAUCAAUCGAUUCUUUCUGCUUCCACCGCCCAGCGCCCAUCGUAGCCGCCGGGAUAUCGAGGACUUGCAACCCGUGAGCGCUGACUUGCCUCGCGCUGGGGUUCGCCGCUGUGCGCUGGACACCGCCUGAGGAACUGCGCCACAUCCCCAUGGAGGGCCGCAACCUCGCGCCGCUGCGCCCUGCUGCCGGCCGGGAGGGCAAGGCCCCGCCGUCAACUGGUGUUAGCGACAGAUCCGUAUGAUCCACUUCCCUCGAAGCUCCUAGCGCUACAUCCGUGUCUUUUUUUUCUACGCAAUAAAAAAAUUGGCAGAAGCGGGAUUCGAACCUGCUAACUCUUGAUAGGCCAUGAUAGCUUACAACCACUCGGUCUAGAUUGAGCUAGUGAUUAGAUUGAGACAUUUGUUUUCUACAUAUAGUACAGGAAACAUGUUUUUUCAGUUUUUUCCUUGGAUUUAUGUACUGCACAAUUUUCACGGAUGGAUAUAUGGUGUCUCCAUGCCCCUCAUGUUAGACUAGUUACCUAGAAUUUAUGAGGGGGGGAGGGGGGUGUUUCCACACUUAUUUUAACGGAAACAAAAAUUACCGGGGUGUUCAUACGUAAGUUAUCAUGUGUGUGGCGUGUAAAUUAUCAUGUUAUAGGGGUAUAUUUUUAAUAAGAAAAAUCUCCGAGUCAGAAUUAUCAGGGGGCUUGCGCAUAAGUUAUCAGGUCUGUUUACGCAAAAACUAUGCUAUUUACGCAAAACUUACCGGGAUAUAGUCUCAACAACUUUUUUCUGAGGGUCAAAAAGGUUACCAUGGUAUUCAUACAUGAGUUAUCAGCUCUGCACUGUGUAAUUUACCAUGCUAUUUACACUUAUGUUACCAAGGGUAUCUUUUCAAUGACUUUUUUCUUCCGGUUCAAAGUUAUCACGGUGUUUGUACCUAAUUUAGCAGGUCUACAAUAUGUAACUUACCACGCUACUUACAAAGAACUUAACAUAUGUAUGUUUCAACAACUUUUAUCCACUAGGUCGAAAGUUACCACGGUGUUUGUCCAUAACUUAUCAGGUAUGUGUUGCGUAUUACAGUGCUAUUGACACAUAACUUAGUGGGGUUAUGUUUUGAACAAUUUUCCUCAGUCAAAAAGUUAUCACGGUGUCCAUAUAUUAGUUAUCAACUCUACGCUGUGUAUUUUACCAUGCUAUUUUUACAUAGAUGUUAGCNNNNNNNNNNNNNNNNNNNNNNNNNNNNNNNNNNNNNNNNNNNNNNNNNNNNNNNNNNNNNNNNNNNNNNNNNNNNNNNNNNNNNNNNNNNNNNNNNNNNNNNNNNNNNNNNNNNNNNNNNNNNNNNNNNNNNNNNNNNNNNNNNNNNNNNNNNNNNNNNNNNNNNNNNNNNNNNNNNNNNNNNNNNNNNNNNNNNNNNNNNNNNNNNNNNNNNNNNNNGGUGCAAAAAUACCAUGGUGUUUGUACCUAAUUUAGCAGGUAUGUAGUACGUAAGUUACCAUGCUACUUACACAAAUUUUAUCAGGGGUAUGUUUAAAGAAAAUUUCCAUUGGCUUAAAAGUUACCAUGAUAUUUUAGAUGUCAGUUAUCGGGUAUGCGACACGUGUAUUACCAUGCUAUUUACACAGAAGUUAUCGAGAAUAUGUUGUCAAUGGUUUUUUCUAGGUCAAAAAGUUAACGAUGUUUGUAUGUAAGCUAUCAGGUUUGUGGUGCAUAAAUUAUCAAACUCAUUACAAAGAAUUUAUCAGGGGAUAUUUCAAAACAAACAUUUUUUUUCUUGAUGACACAUGAGAAAAAAACUUUAUUCAAUGUAAGCGGAAUGUUUAUUUCACUAGAAAAAUGUUCAUCACUACAAAAAAGAGAGAUAAGUACAGCAUGAUGCAUCAGUCCUUACAAAACCUGGACUAGAUGGUUUUGUCUCCAGGUCAAAGGCAAUGUUGUUUUUCUUUCUCAUUCUCAUUGAAUAAGGUAUAAAACCUUGUUAAACUGGUAGGAAAACAGAACAGAUAUAUGUACCAGUUGGUUGCGCGCAGUGGUAUUCGUCCAAUCGGUCCUGGGUUCGACUCCUGUUGGUGCUUCAUUAUAUUUUUCGGUAGCUUUUUUCACGCGCUAGAACUGAACGAGCGGUUUAUCUAGCGCGAGAAGCGGAUCGAGCGCCUCGCGAGUCUGUACGUGCCUGUCACUAACUGCCAGCCGGCAGGAAAAUAGAAUUCUCGUUUUCUAAUCUCCGUCGUUAUCCAGUUUAGCUCUGCCGUUACAAAUCAAUCGAUUCUUUCUGCUUCCACCGCCCAACGCCCAUCGUAGCCGCCGGGAUAUCGAGGACUUACAACCCGUGAGCGCUGACUUGCCUCGCGCUGGGGUUCGCCGCUGUGCGCUGGACGCCGCCUGAGGAAAUGCGCCGCAUCCCCAUGGAGGGCCGCAACCUCGCGCCGCUACGCCCUGCUGCCGGCCGGGAGGGCAAGGCCCCGCCGUCGUGCUCGAUGGGUGCCAUGCCUUGGAUGCUGCGGGGUGGCCGUGGCUACCAGCGUAUAUCGAUGCCGCGAAUCGCGACGCGGCGAUCCGUGUCGGGUGGAUCCGCCGAUGCCUCUGAAGCGCCGGGAGGAGCACCAUCAAGGCCGAGGGCCCUCGCGUCCUCGGCGCCGGAUAGCGUCGCUGCCACGGCUGUGCGUCAUGGUCUCGCCGUUGGGGCGAGCAUGGCGUCGUCGGUCCUCUUCUCUUGUUCUUCUUCCAUUCCUUUUCGCUUGUUGCGUGGCCUAAUGCUGUCGGUAGAGGCGUGCGUGAUAACGUGUAAAGAGGAAAAAGGGAGAGAGAGAGAGGGAACGAACGAUUGGAAUGAACGGUUGUUUCUCAUUGAUUGAAGACAGGGUAUUUAUACCCACUUACAAGGCAGUUAGGAUUAUAAUAUCGGUAACUACAACCGACUUAAGCAUUGAUUAUUAGGAUUAAAUUAAUCCUUAACAGGCAGCACACUCCACUUCGGCAAGACACCAUGUGCCACAAAGUGCAAAAAACCCACCAAGACAUGUAUACACAUGACUAUGCUGAGCACCUUUGCCUCCUCUACUCCGGCCAACGAUGUUGUCGGAGAAUACAGGGGAUUGGGCCAGGGAGGACGAUCUCUUCUGGACUCUCAAUGGGGUUUCUCCACAUACUUUGUAAGUGGACAUUUUUCAGACAUGUCAUUUUUUAAACCAUCAUAUUUGUAUUGUUUUGGACUAACUUUUUAAAUCAUCAUAUUAAUGAAAAAUAAUAGUGCAUUUAUAAAAGUGGUAGAAUUUAAUUGUGGGAAAUUUACUUAUAUGGAAAUUAUUUGGAAUAUAACCAUUGUCGUGUACAUGUUUAUCGCAUUCGUCUAUCGAAACAUAUCACCGAGGGUGAAAGUCAAUCAUCGGUUAUUACUAUCUCCCGUCGGGUAUCUAAUCAAAUAACCAAGAGUGACAUAUUGACCGUCGGUCAUUUUCACUCAUAGCCGAGAGUUUUGUUCUGACCUUCAGCUAUUAAAAUUCACCGUCGGGUAUUACAUGUAAUCCCCGUGGGUACAACCGAAAUCGUCGGAUAUUACAAUGGACCGUCGGGCAUUAAAUUGUAUACCCGAGAGUUGGGUUUUCCCCGUCAGCUAUUUUAGUGCACUGUCGGUUAUUAGUAGUCAGGGCAUCUCCAGCCGUUGGCCCCCCAGGGGGCGUCUAAAAGCGCCGCCUGGGGGUGAGCCGGCGCAAAAAAUGGCCCUGGGGGCGAGUCGGCCCCCAGGGCCGCCCCCAGGCGCGUAUUAAAAAACAAAAAAAAAAGAA